ACCCAAUUUGAGAAUUGUCAGUGGGGCCCUCAACCCUACGAUUUAUGUGUUAUGCUUCGUAUAGUACCCUAGUCUCAGAUGAAAAACGUUGAGGAGUUUAAAUCACCAUCGCUUGCCUCAAUGAUAUUCUAAAAAUUCAUUUUAGCGUCCUCCGCUCGAACUUGUGCACGGAGUCCUCUCUUGGUGCGGGGCCUAAUUUGACCAAAUCUAAUUGACUUAAAACCAAUUUUGAAAACGCCUGGGCUGGUGCUUAAAUUAUAAAGCAUAUCUGAUCUCAUUAAUCAUUUUUUUUUUGUUGUUUCGCUCGUGUCAAGCAAUUCGGCAAAGGCAUUCGAACAGUGACAUCUCCAGCUAAGCAUCAGCAAUGUAUUUUCCAGGCCGUUAUAUGAUGUUAUUUAAGGCUGCCAGUUGUAAUUUUAACGAGACUUGGGCACUGCGGAUAGCAUCUCGAUUAAGCAACCAAAUGAUCAAUCAUUGAUUUGUAAUGUUCAUUUUAUAUUUUCUUUAGUGCAAAACGUGACGUGUUUCGAGUAAGGGUUUGAUCGUUUUCAACGAUGAUAAAACAAAAUAUAUUCUGUUUCAAUACAAACCCAUAGAAAUAAUACUGUUCAUUCUAUCCAAUUACACUACAGUGGUUUAUGUUUCGUGGUCAUUCCUUUCUCAGAAGCAAAAUAGUAUCUGUUUUAGUGAAAACCAUGUAGUCAAGUAAUAAAAGUAAGCUUGCUAAUAAAAUUAAAAUCCGGUCCUUAGCUUAAAAACCUCGAAGGUAUAGAAGGUAGGAUGACAAAAACAGAAUUGAAAGAUUAUUAUAAAAAAGAACAACAUAACUAUCGCAACGUAUAUGAGAGAAAGAAGGACGUUUUCUGCUGUCAUUAAUUUUGUUGCAAUUGUAUAAAAGAAGAAUGUUACCCAAUACUACAAAUAUAAAUAUAUUGUAUUUUUUUUUAGCUAAAUGAAACAUUUACACGGGUAAUCUAAUAUUCGUCGCACAACAACGAAAAGAACAGUAGAAGCAAAAAACAAAUGCCAGUGACAUUAAACAAAGGAACAGUACUUCCCGUUUUGUUACGUAUUUGUAGUAUUUUUUAUUUGAGCUUUCCAAUAAAAUGUGCGCAUCGAAUUUACACACAUACUCUCUCUCUCUCUCUCUCUCUCUCUCUCUCUCUCAUACACACAGACGCACACAGGUAGACGUACACACAGACACAAACACGCACAAAUGGACACAAAAAAUACACAUUCACAAAAUGUGCGCACUCAGAUACAGAUAAAUACACAUUUAGAAACGGAACACACAUAUUCAUUGCGUUCAUGAGGGAGAAUACAGAUAUGCACAUACAUACCACCAAACACAGACAGGUUUAUGUAAAAGGAUGCCUAUUGACAUAUGCACACACAUACAUAUCUACACACAUAUGCAUAACUACAUAUUUAAAGAUACAUAAAUAUGCAUAUGUAUGUGCAUAUAUAUAUAUAUAUAUAUAUAUAUAUAUAUAUAUAUAUAUAUAUAUAUAUAUAUAUAUAUAUAUAUAUAUAUAUUUAGAAGGAGCUUCUACAGGACUAGAACUGUUUCAUUCCGAUGAAAUCUUCAGGAAGCUUUCUGAAGAUUUCAUCAGAAUGAAACAGUUCUAGUCCUGUACAAGCUCCUUCUAUAAAAUAAAUUACUUUACUCUGCUAUGUAUUCGUGCCUUAUUUACUUUGGUUAACCCCGACUCAACUCGGGACCUACAUAUAUAUAUAUAUAUAUAUAUAUAUAUAUAUAUAUAUAUAUAUAUAUAUAUGUGUGUGGAUUCACUCACACCGUGUGGAAACUUCGGCAAGUUCAAUUAAAUUCGCAGGCCAACCAGACCCUCGUGAGUGGAUUUGGUAGACGGAAACUGAAAGAAGCCAGUCGCAAAUAAAUAUGUAUGUAUGUAUGUAUAAAUAUAAAUAUAUAUAUAUAUAUAUAUAUAUAGAGAGAGAGAGAGAGAGAGAGAGAGAGAAAGAGAGAUAGAUAGAUAGAUAGAUACGUACUUCUAUCUAUAUAUGACAACCCCCAUAUACAGACCCAGACACACACAAACACAUAUCUAUGUACACUACCUUUCUUUUUAAUUCUCUCUCUCUUUCCCUUUUACUUUGCAUAUUCAUCCUAUAUACAUAUGUAGACAUGUGUAUCUGUGUAUAUGUGUAUAUAUAUAUAUAUAUAUAUAUAUAUAUAUAUAUAUAUAUAUAUAUAUAUAUAUAUAUAUAUAUAUAUAUAUAUAUAUAUAUAUGAAGUUAGAAAAAAAAACUGAUAUGAGGUAGUGUAUGUCUGUGUGUGUAUAUUUGCAUAUGUGAGCGACAGAGAAAUGCUAUGUGUGUGAGAGAGGAAGAUCGAAUCCGGAGAGUGAUGGCAUAUGUGCACGUGUGCAGCACAAUUUCUGUAAGACAGUGUGAAUGUUAACGAUACUAAUACAUAAGGCGAAUGGAAUGGCAUAGAUGUAUGCUGGCUGGUUGACAUGAGCCUUGCUUCAGCUUCGCAUGUCAGUGCAUAUUUAGUACACACCUGUUUGAACCUAUUCAAUUAAGUAGUAUUCUAAUGGAAGCAGAAUGCAAUGCAUGCGUGCGUGUGUAUAUGUUUUCUCGUAUGUGCACGCGCACGUCCCUUUGUGUGCACAUGCGCGUGUAGUAUUCCGAAGAGAGCAUGGAGCGAAGUGUUGUACAGCACACAGUAUCAAAUGACAAUGAAAUUUAAUAGAUGGACGUAUGAAAGAAGGAUGUGUUGACAAAUACAUAUAAGCGGGCGGUAGUGGCGAAAGACAGGGCGAGAGAAAUUGAGAGAGAGAGAGUGAGAAAGAGAAAAAGAGAAAAGAAGGUGUGAAAGAGAGAUGCUGAGAGAGAAAGAAAGAAAACAGGUAUGAUUAUAUAUAUGUGGUAUAUAUACACAUAUAUAUUUAUCUCUCUCUCUCCUUCUCUCUCUUUCUUUCUCUCUCUUUCUUUCUCUCUCUCUCUCUCUCUCUCUCUCUCUCUACAUAUAUAUACUGAGAGCGGGAGAUGUGCGUGUAUGUAUGUGUUAUCACGGGAAUAAGUCUAUGCUUAGGUAUCUAUCUAUCUAUCUAUUUAUCUAUCUAUCUAUCUAUCUAUCUAUCUAUCUAUCUAUCUAUAUAUAUAUAUAUAUAUAUAUAUGUGUGUGUGUAUGUGUGUGUGUGCGUAUACAUAUGUAUGUACACAUGUGUAUAUGUAUAUGUAUGUAUAUAUAUAUAUAUAUAUAUAUACGUGUUUGUGUUUAUGUAUCUCUCUCUCUCUCUCUCUAUAUAUAUAUAUAUAUAUAUAUAUAUAUAUAUAUAUAUAUAUAGAUAGAUAGAUAGAUAGAUAGAUAGAUAGAUAGAUAGAUAGAUAGAUAGAUAGAUAGAUAGAUACAUACAUACAUACAUAGCCAGAUAGAUAUGUAUAUAUAUAUGUAUGUGUGUAUAUGUGUUGUGGGUAUGCACGCGUGCACGUGCGUGCACGUGAAUAUUCCCGCGUACUUAUAUUUCUCUUUUGAAGUUUGUCUAUAUAUGCAUGAUUAAUAGUAUUUUAUCUACAUUUUUUUGCGAAAAAUUUAUAAAGGCCUAUAUUAUGCGUGGGAAUAAAUAUUUUAUUGUAUGCAUAUUUAAUGCCAGCCAUGUGAAUUAUAUUUGUUUGAAAGAUGAGCCAAUACUAGCAAAAACAUUUUUACAAAUGUAAAAUUGUUAGGAUACGAAGAAUAAAGAUUUCAAAACCUAAACAAAAACAAUUAAACGACUACAAGUAAUCCCACUUAAAUACGGCGCUUACAUGGAUCGCAACAUGUUUGCACACACUCAAAUAAAAAGAACAAAUAAAGAAACUGUGGUAAUUGAAAUUUGUAAAAACGAACUGUUUUAAAAGAAUUCGCCUCUGUAUUUAUUAAAGUAGUAAAAAGAUUUGAUUGGCUGUGGAGAGUAAAAUGAUAUUUGAUACUGAAUAUGAAUCUUUAUAAAUAUCUUUAAAAUACUUUAGAGCUUCAGAGUGUUUAUUUGGUUAAUAUAAAAAAAAGAUGUGGGUGGUGGUGAUUUGUGAUUUGUACACCACAGGGAAGAAUUAAACUACGAUGGAAGCGACAAAAAUGCAGAUAAUACCAUAUCGGCCAUUUGCGGAAGACAUUCAAAAAUCCAAUUGCAAAUCUGCCGGAGAUAUAUUUUCAGGGAUUUCUUUCAUGUAGUAAACUUCUUCAAAAUUACAAGACGUCAUAUGUCAUACACAUGAAUAGUAAAGGAGGUUAGAUGCUAAAAAUGACAACAGAGAAUCAUGGAACGCAUACUCAUAACGAAACGAUGUCCAGUCGUAGAGCUGUACAAGCCAACGAGUUCGCUAAAGUCAAGAAUGGAAUAUGUAAAAUAAAGCUUGACCUUGCAAUAGUCGAAAUACUAGAGGAGCGGUCGUAUGACUAUUUCUUAAAAGCGGAAGGUAGUACUGGUGUAGAGAACUGUACCAUUCCUAUAUGUCGUGGCUCUCUCAGACAAGCCCACAUUUUCACAGUCAGUCACUUUCACCAGCUACGUUGGAGAUACGAAUGUAUCAGGCGUAAUCGGGAACCCUAAAUAUAUUUCUUUAUUGCCCACAAGGGGCUAAACAUAGAGGGAACAAACAAGGACCGACAAAGGGACUAAGUCGAUUACAUCGACCCCAGUGCGUAACUGGUACUUUAUUUAUCGACCUCGAAAAGAUGAAAGGCAAAGUCGACCUCGGCGGAAUUUGAACUGAGAACGUAACGGCAGACGUAAUACGAAAAAGCAUUUCGCCCGCUGCGCUAACGUUUCUGCUCGCCGACUUAACCCCAAAUAACACAAAAUUACAGCAUGAGCUAUACAAUUCUGCUCAGAAAUGCGUCACCUAUUCCAAGCGAUCAGAUAUCAGACUAAGCAUUCAGAAUGCGAAGGACGCUGGACAAUACCCAUUUCUUUACUAUCCACAAGGGGCUAAACACAGAGUAGAUAAACAAGGACAGACAAACGGAUUAAGUCGAUUACAUCGACCCCAGUGCGUAACUGGUACUUAUUUAAUCGACCCCGAAAGGAUGAAAGGCAAAGUCGACCUCGGCGGAAUUUGAACUCACAACGUAACGGCAGACGAAAUACCGCUAAGCAUUUCGCCCGGCGUCCUAACGUUUCUGCCAGCUCGACGCUGGAAAAUACCACCCUGUAUUCACAGUUAGUGAGCUAUCUGCAAAUUUAUGUGUAUAAUGAUGCCUUCAUUUCGUGUUCAUAUUACAUCAAAUAUGUACAGGGGACCCGGUCGAUUGGAAUCUGAGAUCAUUUAAACCAGAAAAGUAAAAAAAAAAAAAUGGAAAUCCUGUUAGUCCUGUGUGGAACAACUGUUUCCAGUCAAAUGGAAUACUUUCCCCCUCCACCACUAAUGUGCACGCAUUAGUGUAACACUAAAACUAGACCACAAAGCUGUCCAAGGCUUUUACACCAAAUAGAAGAAAUUUAAACAACUGAUGAGCGACUGGUGGAAAAAUUGGUGAGGCUCUACUCCUCACAGCGAAGGUGAUAUUUAUACAUUCGCACACACAUACACAUACACAAAUCUAGCAUCUAGCUCUAUGCAUAUUAGUAUAUGUUCCAGCAUCUUAAUCUAGAAUAAGGGACCAUUACUGUAUCCGCUCUGACUUUCAGUGACACUUUUCUUGUUCAAAUUUCUUCGUGAUUCAAAAUACAUAAAUAUAGAUUCAAACAAAAACACUGAGAUAAUCUUUUUUCUUUAUCUGACAUAUCAGUUGAAUGCCCAGCAGGGCAAGAAACAUAAGGACGUCUAAACGCAACUCAUUCAUAGAAAGCAAACGUGGAUAUGAAAUGAAAUAAACUAAAAAUAAUGGUACUUCCGCAGAUUUUAGCUAAAACAAAUAACGGUGAACAUAUAUAUAUAUAUAUAUAUAUAUAUAUAUAUAUAUAUACAUAUAUAUGUCAUUGUAUGAUUUGCCUAAUAGUGGUUUUAUCUCUAAUUUAAUAUAAUAUAUAUAUAUAUAUAUGGUAACAGGCAAAGAAAGAAGCGUAUAUACACGAAUUUCCGUACAAAUAUCCACACAUUAAAUAUAGCAUGCUCAAGCUGGUGAAUUCUUACAAUCGUUAGCUUACCCAGUAAAUUGCUUAGAGGCAUUUCGUCCGAUUUAACGCUCUGUGUUGAAAAUCUGCUGAGGUUCACUUCGCUCUUCAUCUUUCAGGGUUGAUAGAAUAUGAACCAGUCGAGCACUGGGGUCGUUAUGAUCGCCUAACACGCACCGCCAGAAUUGUUCGCCUUGUGACAAAAUUUGCAAUUAUUAUAUGUGGCAAUUACUAUAUGUGUGGUAAUUAUUAUAUUUGGUAAUUAUUAUAUAUGGCAACUGCUGUAUACUGAUAAAUACUUCCUCCAUCAACUCUCAGUUUCAAAGCUCAUUGAUUAUGUAAUUUAAUUGUGGUUACUGUACGAGUCCUUAACAGUGUUGCCCUGCAGCAUUUAGUUUACAUGAAAACAUCCAAUCUCAUAUGGCCAACCUUGUACGACCUUCUAUCUCUCUAUCUUCCAUGCCUUCACUAAAACAAUAAGAAAAUACUUUGGCUACAACCACUGCUAACGUGCAGUGACUAAUUGGUAUUACUACAUACGGCGAGCUGGCAGAAUCGUUAGCACGCCGGGCGAAAUGCCUAGUGGUAUUUCGUCUGCCGCUACGUUCUGAGUUCAAAUUCCGCCGAGGUCGACUUUGCCUUUCAUCCUUUUGGGGUCGAUAAAUUAAGCAACAGUUACGCACUGGGGUCGAUGUAAUCGACUUAAUACCUAUGUCUGUCCUUGUUUGUCCCCUCUGUGUUUAGCCCCUUGUGGGUAAUAAAGAAAUAGGUAUUACUACAUACUGAAGAUUUUCUUUGCUUGUAUCGCCAUUCUUUCGAAUGCUCGUUGCCACAUCAAUGAUAAAGUAGCUUUUGCUUCUUUCUCGAGUUUGUGAUCCACGGUAUAUUGUUCGUUUUAAACCUUAUAAUAUUAAGAUAAGACAGCGGCAAUGAGUUCAAAUAUUUCCUGGGAAAAGAACCUAGUGAUCAUCAACGUGUUUCUUUUGCCUUCAAAUUUAUGUUUCUACGUGCCUUCUACAGGCAUCACUAAGUCAACAGCUUGAAAUUCAAUACUCUCUGUGUUUCUGUCUCUUCGCCUCUCUCCCUCUCUCUCUCACCCUCUUUAUCUCUCUCUCUCUAUAUAUAUAUAUCUGAUCAUACGCACACAUACAGACACACACACACACACAAUUAUGUAUCGAGUCAUCCAAUAAGCAAUGUGGUUUUUCAAAUGCAUGAAAUAAAAUUCGGAGUGGGGCGGAAUAAUCUACCUGGAUCGUCUGGUAGUAAUUUUACAUUCUACUUAUUCUUAGUGCAAGUUUCGAAGUGUGGAGUUCGAUUUUAACAAUUAUUUUUUUCAAAGCUAUAAUGGAAGUGACAAAGGAGCAUAUUCGGUACAUUUUGCUUUAUGAGUUCAAUAAAGGCAACAACGCAACGGAACGCGCAAGGAAUAUUAAUGUGGUAUAUGGGGAUCGGACAAUAAGCGUAAGCCAGCGUCAACGGUGGUUUCAGAAAUUCCGAGCCAGAAACUACAGCCUAGAAGAAGAGCCUCGUCCUGGAAGAUAUCUAGAACUCGAUGAGGACGUCCUGCAAACCCUGGUGGAAUAAAAUUUCAUCGUAAAUGUUGAGGAACUGGCAGGGAAGCUUGGAUUUGGUCAGUCAACCAUUCUUCGACACCUGUGUGCUAUCGGAAAAGUUAGCAAAUUGGGUCAAUGUGUUUCUCACAAAUUUUCCUAUCGUAUGCAUGCGCAGCGAGGGAAUGUGUGCUCUUCCUUGCUGUCACAUCUUACGAAUGAACUUUUUUGGACCGAAUAGUAACUGGAGACGAGAAAUGGGUCCUCUAUAAAAAUGGCAAGCUUCGAAAACAGUUAGUAGGGAAAGAAGAAACACUGGUACCCCAGGCAGAAGAAGGUCUUUACCCCACGUAAGGUGUUGUUAUCUGUUUGAUAGGAUAUGAAAGGUUGAGUCCACUUUGAACCAAAUGAUAACAAACUCAAACCAAACAAUAACAAAGGAGUUCUACUUUGAGCAGCUUCAUCAGCUUAUGUCAGCGCUAGGAAAAAAAGCGACCACCUUUGCUUUCAAGGGGAAAGGUGUUCUUCCAUUAGGAUAAUGCUCAGCCGCAUACAGCGGGGAUAACAUUCCAAAGGCUGGAGAAGUUUGAAUGGGAAAUCCUUUGGACGGAAAAAAUAUGAAUUCUCUAGUCGCGGUCAGAACAAUACAAGUGAAUUAUAGAAGAGGGGCCUUGCACGGCUACCAGAGAGAUGGACCAACCUUGUAGAAAAUGAAGGAGAGUAAGUUUUAGAUUAAAAAAGCACUUUUUUUAUCUUAAUUUUAAAAAAGUAAAAGAAGUAUAAAAUAUAGCAUUAUCUAUAAAAUGAUCCAAUGCACACACACAGACACACACACACGGACACAUGCACACAUAUACACACACUCACACACACACACACACACACACACACACACACACGCAUAUAUAUAUAUAUAUAUAUAUAUAUAUAUAUAUAUAUAUAUAUAUAUUAGGAGAAGUCAAAGAUUUUUCGCACUGUCGCAAAAAUUUCCGGUAGGUUAAACACAAUUGUUUUUUUCCGCUCGCGUGAUAAAAUGUGAUUAUCUUAUGGUUCAGUUAAUGGAUUUGAUGUUGAUCGCACCACUUUUUGUGUUACAGAGUAAGCACGUUCACUCAGCUGCCAGUGUGUACCAAAGAAGGAGGAAGAUCAGUGAUCUGAUUUUAUAGUCUGAAGGUAUUUGAGGCGCUGAAGUACUAUACGAAUAUCCUGCUCUACCGCGUAGAAGUAUGUAUGAGUAGGUUAAAACUUUAAAAAAUGGUCGGAUGAGCAUGAUGCACGAUUUAGGAGCAGAACACCGAUCACCCACAUCCACUGCCCGAAGAUUCAACAGGCUCGAGAGAUGGUUCUGGGUGAUCGACGCGUGAUCAAAUGUAUUGUCUCCAAAUUAGUUACGGUUCUGCAUAAGGAGUUAUCCACAGGCUUUGCUUUUGUAAAGUUUGUAGGAGAUGAGUUCGAAGAAAUCUUACCGAAGCUUAUAAGCGUAAUCGUAUAGACAUUUGUCAACGCUUACCUGACCUUUACUACGACGAAUACGAAGCUUUUCCGGAGAGAAUAGUCGCUGAAUAUCACUUUGAGCCAGAAUCCAAAAUGCAGAGUUUGAGGAGGAAAUAUCCGGAACAGCCAACAAGAGAAAUCCAAGACUCAACCUUCCGCAGACAUUGUGUUUUUUGCCUUAAUUUUGUUUCUGCCAUUGUUCGGUAGCACACCUCCCUACGUUUUGGUAGCUUGCAUUCCUUGUCUUAUUUUUUUUCACUUAUUUGUUAGUAUUUAAUCACAUCUUCUCUACAUACACCUCGAUUCUUAUAAAUGCACCGAAGUUCUAACACUUUUAUUUCAGUGUCUCUCUCUCUCGGGUGACGUUGCAAGUUUUUGGUAGCUUUGCCUUGGUAGAUGUAACUCUGGUGCAUGUUAAGCUUAAAUUCCAUUCUGAUGCAAUCACGCCUACAUUGUAUGCGUGAGUGCUUAUAGCUGUUGAUCAUUUUUGAUAUUUAUAUAGAGGAAAUAGUUAACGGUUGUUUUCAUUCACCUUGUAUCCACAAUUUGUUUCAUACAGGAGCUUACUUAGAGGAAACGGUGCUAAGCAGGAUAUCAAAGGAGAUAAUGAGUUCCUGAAAGAUACUGCAAUUAAUAUUGUUUAACGUUUAUAUUUAUAGUAUCAGUAUAGAGAACUGACGCCGUUUUCCAAGGGCUCAUGGUGUGACAUACAACAUUCUUGAUAACUGGUGAAAAUAAGAAUACUUCCAAACAUCUCUUUACCCACCUGAAAGGAAGACUACCAAAGGCCGCUGAGAGUCGUUUUUUCCUGCUGUGAUAAUCUUCAAGAACCAGCCAGCCUUUUUAUUCACAGUUGAUUCUAGCAUCCAUAAUAUCCAUCUUUCCAUCCGUUUUGUUCAUCAUGGAAGAUGAUGAUGAGUAAAGCAUGUAUGUGUUCCAUUAGGGGAGAUGCAAGGGCUUUGUGCAAAAUGAUGUAAGCACGGUAUGGGGCUGUUGUCCUUAGGUUAUCUCUUUCAUUAUUUUUUGAGAACAAAAUCAUCAUCAGCAUUACUAUUGUUAUCGUUGUUGUUGUUGUUAAGGCGAUGAUCUAAAUAAUAGUUAACAACGAGGAAAAUGCUUAGCGGUAUUACGUUCGUCUUUAAUUUCUGGGUUCAAAUUCUGCUUUUGAUCCUUCGGAGUCGACAAAACAUGUAUGAGUUGAGCUCUGGGAUCGAUGUGAUGGAAUUACCCCCUCCCCAAAGUUUUAGGCCUAUUGCCAAUCGCAGAAGAUUCUUUUUAUUUAUUCUUUUUAUCUUCAUCAUUAUUUCUUUCAUUAUUAUUGUUCUUGUCGUUGUUGCUGUUAUUAUGAUUAUCAUUAAUUAUAAUUAUUAUUAUUAUUAAUGUUGAUGUUGUUGCUGUGGUUGUUGCUGUUGUUGUUGUUGUUGUUGUACGGAAUAACCACAGCGACACUAAUGGUAUUUAAUACGAUAGAACGCUGCUUGAUCGCUUUAAAAAUAUCGAUAACGACUUUUAAUAAUUAAGGAAACAAAUCCAAUAAAUACUUUAAAAAAUUCUGUAGUCUGCGGAAGCAAUACGUGUAAAAUUUAUUGAUAAUUAUGUGGCAUGCAAUUAGAAAAUAAGGCACAUGCUCAUAAUGUUCAGUUAUCUAAUAUUAUUUAAAAAAAAUAUUGGAGUACGGUUCACAUUAACACCACAAUCAUACAAUAACUAAGAAACAAUGCAAAUACAGACCAUAUUAAAACAAAAAUUGAGAAACAAUGUUUAUACGACCCUCAUCAUAUAGCUCAAUGUGAUGUAAAUGCCGGAUGUGAAUUUAACGAAAUAUAUUGCAAUAAAUAGCGAGUGUAUACUACUUCCCCAGCAUCAAAUAAACUGUUACUUGAGGAUAAGGAUGGCUGUAUAAAUAAAGGUCAAGAUAUUGUUAUGAAAAUCACGCACAUAAAAUAGAAAAUCUAUAAAGUGUCACUUGUGGAAUAUGUUUAUGUCUAUGAUGCAUAUUUGGCUGCAUAAAACGAAAUUGCGAUGAUGUAGUCGAUCACAUUUCCUGACGAUAAAAGACCAGAUAUAAACAGAAUUUUGAUUCCAAGAUGGUGCCCAACUUAACAUGAUAAAUUAUGAAAAUCAUAAGAAUAUCAGAAAUCUAAACAUUAUUUUAAAGAAAGACUACAGAACGAAUACAGAAAUAUUGAACAUAAAAGAUCAUAUCAGAAAUAGACUUAUGAUGAAACACUUGCAAAAGUUAGCAGAUUAUCGAAACACCACGAAGGUCAAAUCAAAGAACAUCUAAAGAAUAUUGUCAAAACAAAAACUGAAGCGAAAUCACACAAAAACAUAGAUAAAAAUGGAACAUGAGUAAAAGAAAAUUCUGAACACAAAAGUCAUGAACAUGAGAAUAUACCGGAGAAAAUAAAACAAUGAGAUACCCAAGACUUUCUAUGAAUUUACAAAUGAACGGCCUAAGAUUAAAAUUAAUGAUAAGGUGGAAACAACGACGAAAAUCAUGGGCUAGGCAUCUUGUACAUUAUGACAGAUUUAUUGGUCACUGGUGGAAUCGCCACAAAGGAAAAUAUUCCAACACAGACUCUACAGAACCAUGACAAGCGGAAUAACAACUUAGGUAUUAGUUCUGGGGCGCCAAAGAAAAACGGUGGUGUUGUAGAUAGCAUGAGAAGAGCUAAAAUGUGUAGCUAAUAUACUUAACAGCAUGAGAUGCUAAUAGACAUUUUUAAGAUACUUAUUGAACUAAGACAAACAACAUCUAAAGAAAUAGUAGCUUAUAAGCUGCCUUCCGGCAAAUAAUACUGUUUUAACAUCAAUAAUAUAACAGUAGAAGCGUCUGGUGAAAAAUUAACAUACAGUAAAGCAGAACACAUUAUGUAAAAAUUUAUAUAGCUGCAAAGAAAUAUUCCUCAUCAACAAAACCAUACCCGCCAACUGUAAAAUAUGGCGUAGACUGAGUAGCAGGGAGAUGUUGUGAGGUGGGAUGGCAUUCAAGUAUCAGUUUUACUAUGGAUGGCCUCAAGUAGUGUAUUGCAGAGAAUAUCUACAAAGCCCACAGCAAAGUGCUUUUAUUUACUAGAGGAUAUUUACAUGACAUGUGGUUUACAAAAUUGCUCCAAUUCAGCAUUGUAAUGUUAGGAAUAUUGCUACCAAACUCGAUGAGGAAACGGAGACAAGGCACUUACAACAACUUAAUAGGAACCAAUGAACUAUACAAUAUACGUUAGAUGCACACGUACCAAAGAAGAGAUUGGAUGUCUAAAGAGAAAUAUAAUAUAUAUAUAAAAAUGCAUUAGACUAUAUACACAUUAGUUUUAAAUAUAAAAAAAAAUAUAAAUAACAUACAUAAAUGAAAUAUUGCCAUUAUAACAUUCCCCAUUGGAUGUUAAACGAAAUAGCAACCUACUCGGAAAAAUACUAGAAAAUAUAUGCAUUUAGAAUGCACAAACCAAAAGUCUGAAACAGAACGAUAAUGUAUAUACAUACAAACAUCACAUGAAUGUGUGUGUGUAUGUGUGUGUAUAUAUAUGUAUAUAUAUGUAUACAUAGACAUGUAUGUCUGUAUAUAUAUAUAUAUAUAUAUAUAUAUACACACAUACACACAUUGCUGCGAUGUUUGUAUGUAUAUACAUUAUCGUUCUGUUUAUAUAUACGUAUAUAUAUAUAUAUAUAUAUAUAUAUAUAUAUAUAUAUAUAUAUAUAUAUAUAUAUCUGUGUGCGUGUGUGUGUGUGUAUGUGUGUAUGGAUGUAUGUAUAUAUGUAAAGGGGCCUUAUGUAAUUAGUAAACGUAUAAAAAUUUCACUUGAAAACUAGAGCAAUAUCUAUAUAUUGAAGAGAAAGUGCCAAUUCAAACGUCAAGCACGUGCUUGAGUAUCGAAAUUCAACUUGUUGAUCGCUUGGUGUCUUUAUGUUUUGUAUUUAAAAGAACAGAUAUUCAAUAAUGAGAAAAUCAUAUACAUAAAAAAAGAAACAGAAAUGAAAAAUUGUUAUGUGCAUUGUAUUCAGCGAGAUAGAGAUCAUCGUUAAAGAGCGAAGUAUUCUGUCGAUAAACUAAAGGUUUAGCAUAUAUCUUCGAUAUCGCAUCCCUAUCAUACACUUUUCUUCUUAUCAUUUUAGAAGUAAAUAUUUUAACGGUAUUUUGUGGCAGUUUUUAUUUUCGCAUGGCACAAUAAAAAUGUCAUUCGACGUUUCUGAAAGAUGAAUAGAUAAUUUUAGCUCCACUUUUUUUCUCUUAAUUUCCUUCUAAGUCGUUGCAGAAAAAUAGAAAUAAAUAUCUUUCGUAAAUGAAAUCCGUUUUAAAAUUCCUUAAAUCCUAUUAGGGAUUGACAGUGUUGUGAACUAGUCAAGGAAAAAUCCCUUUGUGGUUGGUAAGUAGAAUAAGAUACUAACUCUCCAAACCUGACGAAAUUAAUGCGCCCCAAAGCCCUCGACCUAUAACGUGCAUUCUAACAAUGUAUAAAAUACUAACAUCCAUCAUUACUGAAUGAACAUAUUCCUUUCAGAUAGUUUACAACAUAUUCUCCAAUGAACGAAACCUAACGUGGUUCUUACACAUGUAAAGACUAGCUUUGCAAGUGUAAAAUACUUUUUAGUCGACUGACAUACACGACACAUACUCUUUCUAUUGGACGGAUCGAUUACCAAAAAAGUAUUUCAUAGUCCUCCCCAAAGAAGGAUGGAGAAAUAUCGGGAAAUCUAUAAAACUUUUCCGAGUUUUCGUAUUUUUCUCUGAAAUAAUAUAAAACACUGGCAGAAAACUCUGAUACUGUAUUCAAAGGCACAUAUUGUGAAUCCUGGUAAUAUUGACAUAAAUUGAAGCAUUUUUCAAUGUGUUUCUCUAUCAUUAAUUCUGUCUUUUUUCUCCAAGGGAGCUGUUAAAUACCACAAGAUGUGAGUGCCAGAUAUACGACAUAUCAGACAAUCGUCUUCUAUACGUGGAAAAUCUAAAGCUUUUGGCGAAACCGUGGUUUUUAACUAUACUAAAACAAUUUAAUGACGAUAUUGAGAUAGAACUUGACAUUGAUAAAUGUGCUAAAUCUUCAUAAUUUAAUAGAAAACUCAUGAGGAAGUAAUGUAUACAAGUUGGCAAGACUAACAUAAUUUAGUAACUGCACUGACAUAAUUAAAGAAAAACGUACAGAUAUUCAACCAAAUUGCCUCUAGCGUCUACAGAUGCACGAGUUGUGACUAAUAGAAUUCUACCGUUGGGUUAGAGCAAUCGUAUAAGAAGCGAAGAAAUAAGUUUAAUGUAAGAAGCAGGAUUUAUGCCACCAAUACGCGUGUUAUGACUUUUGUAACAUUCAACGAUAACAUAAAAAUGUUUAUCAAUGUGAUAAAACUGACGCAAAAAAAUACACAAGCUCCUCAUAUGUCUGGCCCAAUCGAAGACGUAGAGGAAAGGAUGGAGGAUAAAAGUAAUAUGGACUGAAUUCAGGGACCAUAAGUUUGACUGAAUUCAGGGACCAUAAGUUUGGACCCCUGAAUAAAGUCAUUAAUUACAGAAUGAUCGAACUUUGUUUGCAAGCAUGAAAUUACCAAAAUAAUUCCGCUCAAUAUCGGAAGCAAAGAUUUAUAUAAAGGAACUACGUAUCACCGAGACUAAGGUGCAAUAGAUAAAACAGGCGAAAGCGCUAUAAAUUCAAAGCAAAUACAAGCACAGGCCAAAUGGAAACUCAGAGCUACAUAAUAGAUGGAAAAAGAAGGAAUUACAUGCUAAACACCCUACAAGACGUAACGAUUCUGAUAUUGGUGACAAUAUGAUCAACCUACAUCUGGACCAGAUCUGCCCAUUCGAAAUAACCAGAGCAACGUCCUUAAAAAUGGUAGUGAUCUUUUCUCCUAUAUUUGUAACUCUAUAUCCGAUAAGUUCACCGUCAUCAGUUCACCGGUAUUUUCUGCAAUAAAAUAGUUUUUUUAACUAUUAACGGUGAGAUAUUAUGGCUAUAUUUUCUCGGCAAACUUUCCUCACCGUGAACAUUCCUGGCGGUGAAUUUCCUUCAUGGUGAAAUUUCUUCACGGUAAAUUAGUGGUGGUGAACUCUUCUGCGACGAAUUGAUAGCGGUGAACUUACCGGUAGUCUUGUAGCUCAACGACCGAGACAAUUGAACAUCUCAAAUCUUGUAUGAUGUUAACCUCAACUAAGUAUAAUAAUUCUUACCACGAUAGACGUAAGGCCUGGAGUUUUGUGGGAGUUAGACAAGUCGAUUACAUCAACCGCAGUACUAUAAUCUUAUUUAUUUAAUCGAACCCGUCAAGACAAAAGGCAAUGUCAACCGGCGGAAUUUGAACUCAGAUCUUAAAUACGGUCGAAAUGCUACUAAGCAUUUAGUCCGGUGCCCUAACGAUUUUGCCAGCACACCACCUUAAGUGAGGCCUAGUUAAUGAAAUAAAGACAUCAUCGUUGUUUGGGAAUUUAGUAUUUGAACUGAUCAAGCUAUUCACGCAAAUACAACAGCUAUAGUACUGAACAAUCAUGUUUGUGAUAGGUCUAUGAAUCCCAGCACACUACAACAAACGUUUGAACACUUAAGUAAAUACAAUUACAUUGAAAUACACGGGUAAACAAUGUGGCAUCUGAAAACAUCAACAGCGUUGGGGAUAACAGGAAAUGGCGAUCUUAAAUACUAUAAUGAAAUACCAUAAGACCUCAGCGCUUAAAAAAAGAAGUUCUUACGAAUAUAUCUUUAUAAGGGAGGUGGGAAAAGCAGUUUCAAAUUAUAAGUCAUCUCUCAUUUUCCUCCCUUCCUGGCCGGCCAGGAUAGAAAUGUGUGAAACAAUUUUGAAAAGCUUUUUCUUCAAAGUGAAAAGAUUUUCUUUUCUCUAACUUUUUGCUCUAUAGAGUAAUUAAAAAAAAAAACAGUUUGAUCUUCCAGCCCUCCAUAGUCUCAGAGAACGUCAUAGCCACAUAGAAUAAUAGAAUCGAUAAAAGCAAUAAUCUAAAAAGCAAAGCAAGUCACAAAACACAGAACGCCCGAACAUCGUUCAGAUUCGGCGACGAACAAAAGGAAAGUAAUAUUAACUCUUGUUGACUUCGACAAAAGUCCAGCAAUUUUUGUGAGUCGAUUGCAUCGACUCCAGUUCUCAACUGGUACUUAUUUUAUCGACACCGAAAGGCAGAGUCAACCUCGCCAACAAAUUUUGAACUGAGAAAUUGCAGACAGGCGAAGUGCCGCUAAGUAUUUUACGCGGCGUAUUAGCAAUUCUGCUAGCUCGCCGCUUUACAUGAGUGUUAAAUAUUAUCAUAUAAUAGAUAAAAUAUAAUGAACCGCAUUAUAAAUAUAACAGUAUACUUUUAAGAUGCAUGGGAAAUGUUUUUUGGAGAUAUACACAAACGAGUGACAAACGGUUAGUUAGGCAGAUUAGAAUAAAUUGCAUAUCUGCCUACUCGCCAAUGAUUAUAAUGAAACUUGGUGUAUUUGUCAAAAAUAUUUAGACAAUAAAAGACAAAAACAUUCGACGCACUCGGAAUGCCUUCACUUCAGCCUGCAAUAAUAAUUAAUCUAAUCUCUCUCGCUUAAGUUGUUCCUGUAUCCUGAAUCUGUUUGAUUUCAUAUAAUUAGUACUUCGUUACCAGCUUUAUGAAGAUCUGGUUAAUUUUUCGAACGACUAUACAAAGUAGGCAGUCGUCGUCGUCGUCAUAGUAAUAUCCUGUGCUACACUUGCCUUAGAGCGGGGUUCGUAUGAUUCUUCUGCUGGAUUUUUGUCUCCUUUUUCUGACACAUUUCCAUUCCGCUCUGGCUUCCACUACACUCCUCGUUCUUGCUUUGUAGUGGUAGUUGGCGGACGAAAGUGCUUCUGAUUGCUGAUUGCGCGGACAGACGGCAGAAGAAUUUCUCAUUUUGUGGCGGUAAAAAAAUGCAAGGUGCAAGGAUUGGCAGAGCGACUCUAGCAUUCGAUCACCGAACACUUGUUGUAUCUGGUAUCAAGCUAUCUCUUUUCCCGUCUCUUUUAACAAUUUAACUAUUUCUAUGAAUGAUUUGAAUGCAUUUGUCUUCAGUUGUAAUAAAACAAAAUAUAAUUAAUAUAGAAAAUUUUUGAUAAUGAAGACAAUUUCUCUCUCUCUCUCUCUCUCUCUCUCUCUCUCUCUCUCUAUAUAUAUAUAUAUAUAUAUAUAUAUAUAUAUAUACAUAUAUAUAUAUAUAUACAUAUAUAUAUAGAGCAAUGAAAUAAUCAUUACAUCACUGCUUAAAUAAUUUGCACUCAGAUAUACCCGUCAGCGUCCUUUGUGUAGGACUACGCAAAAAUUAUUCCAUGUACGCCGGAUACAAAGCCGCCAUCGCCACCAUUAUCACCACCAAAUAGCUAUGCUGCUAUUACUACUACUACUACUACUACUACUACUACUACUACUACCGCUGCUACUACUACUACUACUACUACUACUACUACUACUACUACUACUACUACUGCUGCUGCUACUUCUGCUGCUGCUGCUAAUGCUGCUGUGGCUUCAAUACUAUAGUCAUUCUCUAUGUAGAAAUCCCAUAUUAAUCCUAUAAUUAUCAUUCCCCGUCAAAGCCAUCGGCAGAUUUCCGUCACUUCACACCCACAAACAUACCGAACGUCUCUUCUUCUUCUUCUUCUUCUUCUUCUUCUUCUUCUUCUUCUUCUUCUUCUUCUUCUUCUUCUUCUUCUUCUUCUUCUUCUUCGUCUUCUUAGCAUGCUCGACGAAAUUCUUGGCGGCAAAUUCAUCCGUCAUUACGUUCUGUGUUCAAAUUCCACCGAAGUUCACUUUGUCUUUUAUACUUUUGGGUAAAUAAAUUAAGUAUCAGUUACAUAGUAGUGUCGAUGUAAUUGAUUACUCCCCUACCACAAAAUCUCAAGGCUUUGAGCCUUAAAUAGAAAGGGUUAUUAUUAUUAUUAUUAUUAUUAUUAUUAUUAUUAUUAUUAUUAUUAUUAUUAUUGAGAGCAGUGCAUGCCAUCAAAGUGACACUGGGGUAAAAUAUACGAAGACCAGUAUACCUAUCAUGACUACCUGUCUGAUAUGGGUAUAUUAGGCACUAUUAUUAUUAUUAUUAUUAUUAUUAUUAUUAUUAUUAUUGAGUGAGAGAUCAGUGCAUGCCAUCAAAGUGACACUAGGGUUAAAUAUACGAAGCCCAGUAUACACAUCAUGACUACCCUUCUGAUAAGGGUACACCAGGCGCGUGCAUCCCAACCAUAUAUGCAUGACAUGGUGAUAUCAUAUGAAAAUGAAACAGCACAUGACCUUACAAGUGGUUCCCAGUUAGAAUUUUCGUCAGUUCGAGUAGCCCAUCCCACUCAAAAGGUCCCCGAAUAAGGAUGGUUUAAGGAUGUUGAACGAAAGACAACAGGUAUUGUUUUAGUCUUCAGGUUCCACAUUUUGCUGUUUUCUAGUUCAAGAUCUUUAUAUUUGCUCAGUUUUUGGUUAUUAUUAUUAUUAUUAUUAUUAUUAUUAUUAUUAUUAUUAUUAUUAUUAUUAUUAUUAUUAUUAUUAUUAUUAUUAUUCAGUAGUUUUAUUUUUAUAGCGUGCUUUCACUUCACUACCGAGCGCAGCUCUGUGUGCCUUGGGUAUGUGCUGUGAUUUGUUGUGAUGCUCUGAUGGUUAUUGUAUGGAAAGUGCUCCGCGUAGGAUGUGUGCAGUGCCUAGUAGUGCAUUUUUCUGUAUGAUAUAUGUGUUUGUAAGUCCUGGUGUUUUUGUUAUGUAUUUGUCUGAAUAUUUUUUUAUUAUGCCUAAUGCACCUACUAUGAUAGGAAUUGUUUCUGUUUUCAGAUUCCACAUUCUAGUUACCUCUAUUUCCAGGUCUUUGUAUUUUGAGAGUUUCUCCAUUUCUUUUAGAGACACGUUGUCAUCUGCCGGUAUUGAUACAUCAAUUAGAAAGCAUUUUUUUCUUCAUGAUCUCUGACAACUAUAUCUGGUCUGUUGGCCUUAAUUUCUCUAUCUGUGUGUAUCGGCAUAUCCCAGAGUAUGGUUGCUUUCUCGUUUUCUGUAACCUUUUCUGGUGUGUGCCUAUACCAUCUUUUUUCUGUUGUUAUUCCAUAAUGUUGGCAUAGCUUCCAGUGUAUGUAGGUUCCAACUCUGUCAUGUCUGUGAAUAUAUUCCUUCUUAGCCAGGACUGGGCAUCCAGAGAUAAUAUGAUUUAUUGUUUCUUGUCCAUCUCCACAUAUUCUGCAGUUACUUGUAAUAUUUCUUUUCAUUACAUGUUUUUGGUAAUUUCUGGUGGGGAGGCUUUGGUCUUGUGCUGCAAUUAAAAAUCCCUCUGUUUCUGCUUUGAGUCCUGAGCUUCUCAACCAUUGCUGGGAUCUUUCUUUGUCUAUUUCUUUUGCGUUUAGUUUAGUGCAGUAUUUACCAUGAAGGGGCUUUUCUUGCCAUCGUUUUAUCAUGGUUCGUUGCUGUUCUAUUUUUAGUUUGGAUUUCAUUUGUCUUAUAGCUUUUGUUGUUUCUUCUUCAUCAUCUUCUUCUUCUUCUUCUUCUUCGUGUUUAUUAUGUGGUAUGAUUUCUUGUUUGUAUUUGUCAGCUUCCUUAAAUACUGAGAACAGUUUUUUGUUUUGCUCGUGUUUUGCUGCUAUCUGGAUCAGUUUUCCUUCCUUCUGAAGUAGGUAUUUUUGCAGUCCUAUGGUGGUUAUUUUAUAGUAGUUUUCCAGCUGUAUAAGGCCUCUACCACCUUCUAUACGUUGUAUAUAUAGUCUUUCUAUGUCAGAUUUUGGGUGAUGCAUCCUAGAUCUUGUCAGUAUUUUUCUUGUUUUCCUAUCUAUUUUGGACAGUUCAUUUCGUGUCCAGUUAAGGAUAUUGUAGCUGUAACUUAUAACUGGGACAGCUAAAGUGUUGAUACCUAUUAUCUUGUUUUUAGCAUUGAGCUCUGUUUUUAGUAUUGAUCUAACUCGUCUAUAAUAUUCUUUUUUAAUUUUCUCUUUCAUUUGUGUGUGUUGUGUCUUAUCUAGUUCAUGGAUUCCUAAGUAUUUGUAAGUUUGGCUUUGGUCUAAUUCUUUUAUUUCAUUGGUUUUAUCUAGUGUGAUGUUGUUACUUUUAACUAGUUUUCCUCUUUUCAUGGUUACUUUGGCGCAUUUUUCUAAUCCAAAUUUCAUAUCUAUUUCUUUGGUAAAUCCAUGAACUGUCUUUAAUAGUGUUUCCAGCUGUUUGUCAUUUGCAGCGUAUAGUUUUAGGUCAUCCAUAUAUAAAAGGUGGCUGAUCGUUUUGCCGUAACAUUUAUAUCCGCAUCCAGUUCUAUUUAGCAUAUCAGAUAGAGGUGACAGUGCCAAGCAGAAAAGGAGUGGAGAGAGCGUGUCUCCCUGGAAUAUUCCUCUUCUGAUGGGGAUGUCUUUGGUUUUCAUGAGUCCCUCUUUUGUUUGGAGAUGUAGGACUGUUUGCCAUUUAUUCAUAGAGUGCUCUAUGAAUUUUAUGAUUGUUGGUGCUACUUUGUUAAUGGCUAGUGUUUCAAGGAUCCAUGUGUGGGGAUGCUAUCAAACGCCUUUUUGUAGUCAAUCCAGGCCAUACUGAGGCCUUUCUUCUUUCUGUGGCUGUCUUCAGUUACGGCUUUAUUAAUCAUUAGUUGAUCUUUACAGCCAUAUGAGCCUUUGCGGCAUCCUUUCUGCUCUUCUGGGAACAGUUUGUUUUCGUCCAGGUGCUUGUUCAGUCUUUUCGAUAUCACUGCAGUAAAUGCCUUGAACAUAGUAGGGAGGCAGGUUAUUGGUCUGUAGUUUUCUGGUUUUGCUGUUUCAUUUGAUUUGGGAAUUAAGAUGGUUUUCCCCUUCGUGAGCCAUUCAGGCAUUGUCUCUGGCUCUGCUAGUAUGCUGUUAAAGUUUUCAGCCAGCUUUUUGUGCAUUCCGGUUAGAUAUUUCAACCAGAAGUUGGAGAUCUUGUCAUGCCCAGGAGCCUUCCAGUUGCUUAGUUUUUGCAGUGCCUGGGUGACCUCUUCAGUUGUUAUGGGGGUCCAAAGUUGUUCAGAUGCCGAGUUUGUUAUUUUGAUACUCCUUUUUUUGGCUGUUCGUUCGCCGACCAUAUUUCUCUCCAGAAUUCUUCCAACUCUUCUGCCGUUGGUGCUGCAGUGACUUCUAUUUUAUUUUUUCCCAGAUCUUGGUAGAACUUUUUGAGGUUGGUGUUGAACUUUUUGUUCUGUUCAAAGAAGCGUUGGCGUUUCUCGUACCGGCGGAUCCUUUGAGCUUUGGCAAGGAUAUCUUGCUUCAGCUUUUCUUUUAUCUCCGGCAAAUCUUUUUCUGUGAUGUUAUAUUUGCGGAGCAUUUUUGUUCUCUUUUUGUUGCUCAGUAGCGUUGAUUCUUUGCUGAUUUCAUUAAGAAUCGACAGGUCUUUUCUAAUUUUUUAAAUUUUGUUUUGGAUGUUAUUUAUCCACAGGGUUUGUUUGGGUGGUGGUACUCCUGUUUGGGCGGGUUUGGGUGAGUAUCCAGCUUCUUUUGUGGCUGCAGUGGCUGCUGCGUAUAUCAAGUCAUUUAGUUCAGUGAUAUCACUUUUUUUUGUUUCAGUGGCUAGUUCAGUGACGGCUAGGUUUAUGCUGUUUAUAAUUGGUGUUGUUAUUUCGUUUAUUUUUAUUCUUGGGAGGUAUGGUCGGUGGUCCAUUUUGGGCUCUGUGGUUUUCAGUUCUAAGAUUAUUUUAUUUUUUAUAUUAUCAUAAUCAUUAGGCUCCCCUUCGUUGUUUACAUCGUGUUUGUUGGGAAUGUUGCGUUUGUUGUCUUCGUGUUUUACAGUUUCAGUGUUUAUAUUAUUGGGCAUUGUUGUGUGGCUUCUAUCUACAUUUUCCUGGUGUAUGUUUUCUUUUAGGGUGUUCUAUUUCUAUUUCUGAUAUUUUUUUUGUGUUGAGAAUGUAUCUUCGUACGUUAGCUAAUUUAUUAGGGUUCAUUGCUGUAUCCGAGUCUAUAUCUAUAUUAUUUUCCUUCCAUAUUUUAUAUGUAUGUGUUGUUGUAUUUUCAUUUUUGGGGUAGAGUACUGCUGUGUAGUAUGCGUGUAAGGUAGAAAUGUAUUCCUCACGUGUCCAUUUACGUCUUUUGGGUUUUAUUUGCGGGACAUGAGGUACAAACGUCCGGCCCAUUAUUUUGACGGUCGUCAUUUUCGUAGGGUACCGGUCCGUUUAUUUCUGUUGUCACAUUAUUUCGCACGUGUAGUUUUUCGUACAUUUUUUGUUGUAGGUUUAAUGUACGUACCGCUCGAUUGUUAUUCUUGGGUUGAAUAGUAUCAGUGGCAUUUAAUUUCUUCGUAGUUCCUUUGUACAUGGUGUUUGAGGUCGGGGAUGAUCGUGAUGUUCCACGCAUGUUUACAUGUGUUGCGUUAGAGGUGGAGAUAAUAUCGAGUCAAAAUACAUCAUUUCGUUUCGAAAAUAGUAAUAAAUUUCAAUUAGUAUUACUUACUCGGAUACAGUCCAAUUCUUUGUUAGCAAAACUUUGGCUCCAUAGGAUGUCCUUGUUUUCGAUGUUUGUGGAUAGAUUUCGGAGCUCUGAAUUUUCCUUCUUACACCUUAAACGUCCCCCGGUGUAAUUAUUAUUAUUAUUAUUAUUAUUAUUAUUAUUAUUAUUAUUAUUAUUAUUAUUAUUAUUAUUAUUAUUAUUAUUAUCAUUAUCAUUAUUAUUAACUCUAUUGCUAUUAUAAUGCAAUCUUCUAACCGCUUUCAUGUAACUGAGAUGAAACCGAGAGGCAACUGCCAUGUCUUGUUAUUUAUGCUGCCCUUUACUGCUUACUCUCGUUUACUGCUCUCUCUCUCUCUCUCUCUCUCUCUUUCUGUCUCUGUUCCUCUCUCUCUUUCUGUCUCUGUUUCUCUCUCUCUGUCUCUGUGUUUCUCUCUCUAUCCUUGUUUCUCUCUCUCUCUCUGUCUUUGUUUCUCUCCUUCUCCUUCUCCCUCUCUUUCUCUCUCUCUCUCUCUCUCGAGUUCUGAAAUACAAACCUAACGAUCCUCAGCGCAAUAUGUAGAUGAAAUAAAUAGAUGUAAUAUGUAGAUGCUAUACAGAUGAAAUAAUAGUGGGAUCACUGUUAGUCAUAUCGAUAUUUUUAGAUUAGCAUCAUAGAGGCACUAAUAUUAUGGAAAUAGCGAUUAGAGAACCUGGAGCAAGUUCAUGUGGAAGAUAACAUCGAUCAGCCUCAGAAUUCCACUACUUAAAUAAACGAGACCAACAUAUCUGCAGCAAAGAAUAGUUUAUCUAAUUAUUCACAUAUUAAACGCCAACAAAAUUCCUGAUAGUCUAUUAAGAAACAAUCAAUCAUUUUGUAUCUACCUUAACAGAAAAGAAUAUUUGAAACUAUAUGGCAAAUUAAAUUAUUUCAUUCGCUAGAAACUAGAAAUUUUGGAAUAACCUUGCAGGAAUGUAGACACAAAUAUGCCUCACGCACGGAGUGAGGGUUGUUAAUUUACCAUAUUCUGAGAUAUGCCAGUUAACCGAAACAAUCAGUAUCAGUAAAUAUAGAUGCGUUUUUCCCAAGCAAUAUUCAGAAAAAUGAAACGUAUUUUCUUUGAAGUUAUAUAUCUGUUGGAGCAGACAGCCAUACAUAUUUAACAAAUUUGAAGAAAAUAUCGAAAUUCAAAGAUACAGAAUUACAGAGGUAUCACAAAUUUCUGAAUUAAAAAUAGACUCAGUUUACAUUAAGUUAUUUAAUUUAGGAAAUGCAUCUGCAUAUAAAUAUAUAAUUCAAAAUCUACCAUUUAGAUAUAGACACCUAAGACAGUAUAGAAAUAAAUAAACCUUCCUCGGUUUCGACGACGUGAUCAUUAGUUUAUGGAAUUAGCGUGUAGCUGUGUGUCUCAGAGGCACGUGAACCUUUAACGGCAUUCUAUUCAACGUGACUUUUAAUAGUUGCAGUAAAUCAUUCCGAAGGGCAUCCAAAACGUUUCUUUUGGGAGUGUCGGUUAUUAGACUGCAGCAAUCCUAUGGCGCAGUCUCAGAGAAUUUUAUUCGAACGAAUCGAUCCCUGUAAUUAUUUUCUUUUUAAACCUGGCACUCAUUCUUUCCGUUUCUUAAUUGGAACCGCUAAUUUACACAGACGCAAAUGCGAAAACACAAUGCAUCAAGCGGUGUUGUAGAACAAAGACAAGUAAAGAGAGAGGGAGAAAGAGAGAGCGAGAACCCCCCCCCCGAACACACAAACAAACACAAAUACACACAUACGCAAGCACGCACAUAUAUACGACGAGCUUCUUCCAGAUUCCGAAUACCAAAUUCAUUCAACUGGUUAUUAUAAAAGAUACUUGUCGAGGAUGGCACGCAGUGGGACCUAAUCCGACACCAUGUGAUUGGGUAGCAAACAUCUUAUUACACACCCAAUGACGCUUUAUUCCUCUUAUGGUAACCAGUAUAAUGCGAUUAAAGUUUUCCGUUAUUUUUAUAUUAAUGAUGAGUGUUACCAAACUGAUACAAAUAACACUAAUGGUGAUGACGGUGAUGAUGAUGACGACGAGGUUGAUGACGAUUAUGUUAAUGACGACGUCUAUGAUGUGAAUGAUAAUUUUGUGUUAAAACUAUUUCCCAAGAUAACUAGCUAAAACUUAGUAAAGUGAGAAUCUGCUAUAUUCAAUUCUAUUUGAUUUCAGUGAAUUUACUGUGUUGAAUGGUUAAAAGGAAUGAGGUCGAACUGGGUUAAGGUACUCAGGCAAAAUAAGUGAUAUACUCACAUAUACGUAAUGCUAUGAUUUGUUGUUUUGAGCAUAUACUUCGACUAGCAACAAAGGAAGGUAAUAAUACUGAUGACUUUGUUUGACAAGACAUAAGAGCACUCCUGGCAAAACGACUGAAUCGAUCACAGUGCAGUAUUGUUAGGUAUUUUAUCGAUCUAACAUUGAAAGAAAAAUGCUGAACAGAAAUAAACUAUGAAAAGCAUUUUAUCUCCAGUCUAUAGCGUUAUGUCACUCAACCACCUGAACAAUAAGUAUAAAAACAGACAAAAUUAUUCUAUAUGAUACAGGCACACGUUAUAAAGACACAGUGCGCAAUCUGAGAAUAGUGUUGAUGAUUUAAGUUGGUAACAGUGUAACCGGUCGAAGGACCUAAAAGAUUUUAAGCUACUCAAUUGGCGUGCAUUGUAAAUAGCUUGUCAUUUCGGACCGUUUCUCUACGUCAGAGAGAAAGGAACAGAGAAGGUGAUGAUGUUGCGUGCACUGUUAGCAAAUAUGUUAGAGAACUUAUAUAGACUAGCACAUUAGCUUGGAGUGUAGUUGUUUCAACUCUAUACAACGGCGGGAAAGUUGAGAUGUUAUAUUAUUACGGUUAAGAAAGGUAGGUUUAUCGCCAAGGAUUAAGUUGCCACUUCCUCAAACUACAGUAUUGUUUAGAUUGUGAUAACCCAUUAGCUACCUAACGUUAAAAAAAAAAGAAACUAUGUGAGGCAUUGUGUAUCUAAAUUUCACUCGAGUAUUAAACAUUUCUUUACCUCAAUAUUUGGUUUUGUUUCAUACACAUUUAAAGAAUUACGAAAGUGCUUAUCCAAGAGCUGAAUAAAAGUUUAUGGGCUUUCGUCAGAAUCUCAGGAAGUAUGUAAACUUGCAUGUGUUUCAGCAGGAAGCAAUUGCAUAUUUUGCAACGAUUGCAUAUUAGGGUAAACAUGAUAUAUCUUCAGUGGACUAUGCUGUAUCUUCCCCAGUCAAAGAGCUGAGUAUUCUACCUAAAACCGAAUUUAUUGGAACAUUCUCUCCAAGUAUUGUCGUUUCAACACUCUUAUGGAAUUGUUUUCGUAACGAUUAACAUAUAAUCGUAUAAUGUAGCAAUAUUCGCUGGUGAGGGGACGGCUUAACAAAUAAAACACGCACAAACACAAACAUACAUACACACACACACAUAUAUAUGUGAAUGUGUGCGCAUAUAUAUAUAUAUAUGUAUAUAUAUAUAUAUAUAUAUAUAUAUAUAUAUAUAUAUAUAUAUAUAUAUAUACAUAUAUACCUUUUAAUUGUUUAAGACAUUUGAAUGCAGCCAUGCUGCAGCACCGCCUUUAGUCGAGCAAACCGACCACAGGACUUAUACUUUGUAAGUCUUAUUCUAUCGGUCUCUUUUGCCGAACCGCUAAUUUACAGAGACAUAAACACACCAGCAUCGGUUGUCAAGCGAUGUUGGGAGGGACAAACACAGAAACCCUAACACACACACACAUACACACACACACACACACACACAUAUAUAUAUAUAUAUAUAUAUAUAUAUAUAUAUAUAUAUAUAUAAUAUAUACGACGGGCUUCUUUCAGUUUCCGUCUAGCAAAUCGACUCACAAGGCUUUGGUUGGCCUGAGGCCAUAGUAGAAGACACUUGCCGAUGUUGCCACGCCAUGCGAAUGACCCCGGAAGCAUGUGGUUGGUAAGAAAACUCCUUACCACAUAGCCACUUUUGCGCCUAUAUAUAUAUAUAUAUAUAUAUAUAUAUAUAUAUAUAUAUAUAUAUAUAUAUAUGAAUUACUGUUUGCACGGACAGACGGAAAGACAAAAAAUGAAGACAAAGAAUACAGGGAAAACACGCAAAAAUACAUAGAGGCACUGAUCCCUUAACAGUUUUCGACCCCAACAUCCUCACAAUUUCAUGCCAAACACACACAUAUGUAUAUAUGUAUGUAUGUAUGUUUGCAUGUAUGUGUGUAUGUAAUAUAUAUAUAUAUAUAUAUAUAUAUAUAUAUAUAUAUAUAUAUAUAUAUAUACACAUACAUAUACACAUGCGUACAUACAUAUAUAUAUAUCACGUGACAUCACGUGACCGACCAGUCCAUCAGAUGUAGUUACACAUCGCUGGUCACAAUGCGUUCGCAUUGGUUUAGCCUUCGAAUGACGCAACCCCGCUGGCUAAUCGAGCAGGUCAACAGAAGAAAGAGUGAGAGAAAGAGUGGUGAAAGGGUACAGCAGGGAUCACCACCCCCUGCCGGAGCCUCGUGGAGCUUUUAGUUGUUUUCGUUCAAUAAACACUCAGAACGCCCGGUCUGGGAAUCGAAACCGCGAUCCUACGACCGCGAGUCCGCUGCCCUAACCACUAGGCCAUUGCGCCUCCACACACACACACACACACACAUAUAUAUAUAUAUAUAUAUAUAUAUAUAUACAUAUAUAUAUAUAUAUAUACAUAUAUAUAUAUAUAUAUACAUAUAUAUACAUAUAUAUAUAUAUAUAUAUAUAUAUAUAUAUAUAUAUAUAUAUAUACAUACAUGUAUAUAUAUAUAUAUCUGUAAAUGUAAUAUGUGACAAUUAUUCGGUAGCUAUAAUAAAACUCCGAGUUUCGGAUGCCGUGGUGGAAAUCCAUACUGCAAUCUCUUCAGUUAUCCGGCCAUCGCAAAGAGAUACUAUGGCCGGAUAACUGAAGAAAUGGCGGCGUGGAUUUCCACCACGGUAUCCGAAACUCGGAGUUUUAUCAUGGCUACCGAAUAAUUGUCACAUACUACAUUUACAGAUACAUUCCUCUAUUUACAUAAUAUGGAGAUCUCUUUCUUUCUUUUGUUGUCUUACCGUUUUUAUCAAUACACACACACACACACACACACACACACACACACACAUAUAUAUAUAUAUAUAUAUAUAUGCAGCGGCAUAUGCCAAAUUCUCCCGGUGAAUGAUUCUUGACUUAAAAUAUCAGCCACCACUGCCUGCUAUUGUUUGAGGAGGACGAGGAAAUAGGUGUCCUACGUUAUUUAUCUCUUACGCAAUUUUUCUGUUAUUUACUUGUGUGUUAUCAAUUUAAUUUUUAUAGCUUGUAUCUUUUGGUUUCAUGGCAAAUUUGCUCUACUGUAAUCUCUCUAAAAGCCGGAUUCUGGGAAACAAGAGCACAUCUAAAUUCUUACUGCGAAAUGUUAAAAGUUUUCAACUUGUUUUUUUUUCUUUUUGCAUCCGAUUAGAAUAUAUAUUCCAAAUAAUUCAAAGUGAAUCAUUGUGUUAAAUAAAAUUCUGUACAAGAGUAAUUAUAUUUUUAAUUACAUUUCUAAAACUACGAAAACAUCGAAGCAUAAGUUUACCAUGUAACAUAAUGUACACUAAGUAAAAAUGGUUGUCAAAUUCGUGAAAAAGAACAAUGCUUGUAAUGUAAUAUAUGUUAUAUGCAGUGUAAAUUCAAAUAUGUAGAAAUAAGAAAUUCUGAAACACUCAGUUUCGUCUAUCGUGAUUUUCGCACAUUCUCUAGAAAAACCGCUACAGCACUAGCUACAUAUAUAACUACAGCGUGCGGCAUAAAGGUUGCCCGAAUUCAAAUGUUAAUAAGAAACAAACAUAUGAUGAUACAAGAAAGAACGGUGUUCUCUACUCCAGGCCAUGGCGGGUACUAGCUGGAAAAAAUAGCAUUUAAUGAACUUUAUAGAAAUACAAAGUUUAUUCACAUAUCUUGUCUUUGUAUUUUUAUUAACCUUUGAAAUCAAGGCAACCUUUCUGUUACACCCUGUAUAAUGACCGAUGAAUUGUUAAGAGAAUCAAAACAAAAGUUGCUUUUAAUGAGGGAAAACAUUAAUCAUGUAAUUAUGAAAUAGCCGUAUAAAAUACUUAAAAUACACAAAUCGUAACCAUCAUUUUAAGUAGGCAUUUUAAAUAACUUACUAGGUUUCGUUUCUGUGGUGUUAGGGGAACGGCAAGAAUAAGCUUUCUUCAGAAAAUAAUAAGUUUCUUACGUGUUAUUGAAAAAAAAUCUCAAAACAAAAAUAGUCUCCGUGGGAUCUGAAUUUUUUUCUGUGCUAAAGCAAUUAUAAAAAUAAUUAGUUGCAGUCCCAAUGGUAGAAGUGAGAUUUAAAUAUAACAUAGGUAGACAUAACAUAGACACUCUUCGCUAAGAUGUUGCUUAAAAUUAUCAGAAUAAUAUUCAAAAGGAAGCAAUUUGGAAUAAACAACCAGUAUAACUCGUAUAAUCAAAAACAAAUGAAUACCUUUAACCAUUUAUUUUCGUAUUAGUUAAAGUAGAUUUUUAGUGGACAAUCUCAGGGCGCAGUAUAAUGUACUACGUGACAAUUUAGUUUUAAACGUUUUGGUCAAUAAUAUUUUAGCAAAUAUGUUCACGUUUGGCCAUAAACAUAAUCAUUUUCUUAAGUUUAUGUUAGGGAUAUCUCUAUGAGGUAAAACUCACAAAACCUGUUCUUUGUUUAAAGGUCGUGUGAAUCGUAAUACGUUACAAUAUUAUUAGACUAUAUUGCAGUAAUAUAUUACAAUAACAUUUUGCAUUGUUAAAGUCCCUCAAUUUAUUAGUUCCCAAACCAAUAUAUUUGGAUAACAUUGUGUUCAAUAAUAUUUCAAUAUUUGUUAAAGGAUUUUAAUGUUGAUUAAUAGGCUUUUCAGCCAACGUAAUAUAAAUUUUGGAAACUGUAUUGUCAAUUGCAAAUGCAUUUGUCAAAGAAAUAAUCGAUUUCGUAAGACGGGAAUCAUUUAAUGAAAUAUUUAGUGGGGUAAACAAUGUAAAUUUAGAUAUAGAUGGUUUUCUUAAAUAUAUAUAUAUAUAUAUGUAUAUAUAUAUAUAUAUAUAUAUAUAUAUAUAUAUAUAUAUAUAUAUAUAUAGUGUGUUUUAUACUUCUAUACCAAAACGGAUGACAACUGAAGGAAAAUAUAAAGGUGUAUCUAUAAGAAAACACUUUAUGAUAAUUCGGAAAACAUUUAUGUAACAAGUCAAAGAAAUGUUUAGUAAUAUAUGCACAUACAUUCAGACAGUCAUAUUGCAUUUACUCUUUUUCAAGUAACUACGAUUAGAUGGUGUCUCUAAUAACCAAUCUUAUACUGAAACAAUUUCUUUAAAAAACUCGUUAAAUAUACAUACAUGCAUGCAUACAUACAUAGAUAUAUACAUAUCUAUAUCUAUAUCUAUAUAUAUAUAUGUAUAUAUGUAUAUAUAUAUAUAUAUAUAUAUAUAUAUAUAUAUAUAUAUAUAUAUAUAUAUAUAUAUAUAGACACACACAGGCAUACACAUGAAUAUAUAUAUAUUUGAUUAUGAGAAAUUUGUGGUUUCGGAGCAUUAGCUCUAUUUCUAGCAAGUGAUAUCGUGAUAAUUUUAACAAAAUUAUAUUUGAUAAAUUUCUUUGUAUAUUUUGCCUAUAGAGGUAUGCAGUUGCUUACCACUUUAUUAUUAUUAUUAUUAUUAUUAUUAUUAUUAUUAUUAUUAUUAUUAUUAUUAUUAUUAUUAUUAUUAUUAUUAUUAUUAUUAUUAUUAUUAUUAAUUAUUAUUAUUAGAAAUGGUAAUAAUACCGUAUUUAAUUUUAUAUUGUAUUGGCUCACUUUAUGUUCGGUUUUGAAUAUCGCGGGGGCAUUCAAAUGAAAGACCACACACGGUGUAAUGUGAAGAAUAUUUUCAAAAUAUACUCUUUUACUCUUGUACUCUUUUACUUGUUUCAGUCAUUUGACUGCGGCCAUGCUGGAGCACCGCCUUUAGUCGAGCAAAUCGACCCCGGGACUUAUUCUUUGUAAGCCCAGUACUUAUUCUAUCGGUCUCUUUUGCCGAACCGCUAAGUGACGGGGACGUAAAUACACCAGCAUCGGUUGUCAAGCAAUGCUAGUGGGACAAACACAGACACACAAACACACACACACACACAUAUAUAUAUAUACAUAUAUACGACAGGCUUCUUUCAGUUUCCGUCGAAGCAUAAGUUUACCAUGUAAAAUAAUGUACACUAAGUAAAAAUGGUUGUCAAAUUCGUGAAAAAGAACAAUGCUUGUAAUGUAAUAUAUGUUAUAUGCAGUGUAAAUUCAAAUAUGUAGAAAUAAGAAAUUCUGAAACACUCAGUUUCGUCUAUCGUGAUUUUCGCACAUUCUCUAGAAAAACCGCUACAGCACUAGCUACAUAUAUAACUACAGCGUGCGGCAUAAAGGUUGCCCGAAUUCAAAUGUUAAUAAGAAACAAACAUAUGAUGAUACAAGAAAGAACGGUGUUCUCUACUCCAGGCCAUGGCGGGUACUAGCUGGAAAAAAUAGCAUUUAAUGAACUUUAUAGAAAUACAAAGUUUAUUCACAUAUCUUGUCUUUGUAUUUUUAUUAACCUUUGAAAUCAAGGCAACCUUUCUGUUACACCCUGUAUAAUGACCGAUGAAUUGUUAAGAGAAUCAAAACAAAAGUUGCUUUUAAUGAGGGAAAACAUUAAUCAUGUAAUUAUGAAAUAGCCGUAUAAAAUACUUAAAAUACACAAAUCGUAACCAUCAUUUUAAGUAGGCAUUUUAAAUAACUUACUAGGUUUCGUUUCUGUGGUGUUAGGGGAACGGCAAGAAUAAGCUUUCUUCAGAAAAUAAUAAGUUUCUUACGUGUUAUUGAAAAAAAAUCUCAAAACAAAAAUAGUCUCCGUGGGAUCUGAAUUUUUUUCUGUGCUAAAGCAAUUAUAAAAAUAAUUAGUUGCAGUCCCAAUGGUAGAAGUGAGAUUUAAAUAUAACAUAGGUAGACAUAACAUAGACACUCUUCGCUAAGAUGUUGCUUAAAAUUAUCAGAAUAAUAUUCAAAAGGAAGCAAUUUGGAAUAAACAACCAGUAUAACUCGUAUAAUCAAAAACAAAUGAAUACCUUUAACCAUUUAUUUUCGUAUUAGUUAAAGUAGAUUUUUAGUGGACAAUCUCAGGGCGCAGUAUAAUGUACUACGUGACAAUUUAGUUUUAAACGUUUUGGUCAAUAAUAUUUUAGCAAAUAUGUUCACGUUUGGCCAUAAACAUAAUCAUUUUCUUAAGUUUAUGUUAGGGAUAUCUCUAUGAGGUAAAACUCACAAAACCUGUUCUUUGUUUAAAGGUCGUGUGAAUCGUAAUACGUUACAAUAUUAUUAGACUAUAUUGCAGUAAUAUAUUACAAUAACAUUUUGCAUUGUUAAAGUCCCUCAAUUUAUUAGUUCCCAAACCAAUAUAUUUGGAUAACAUUGUGUUCAAUAAUAUUUCAAUAUUUGUUAAAGGAUUUUAAUGUUGAUUAAUAGGCUUUUCAGCCAACGUAAUAUAAAUUUUGGAAACUGUAUUGUCAAUUGCAAAUGCAUUUGUCAAAGAAAUAAUCGAUUUCGUAAGACGGGAAUCAUUUAAUGAAAUAUUUAGUGGGGUAAACAAUGUAAAUUUAGAUAUAGAUGGUUUUCUUAAAUAUAUAUAUAUAUAUAUGUAUAUAUAUAUAUAUAUAUAUAUAUAUAUAUAUAUAUAGUGUGUUUUAUACUUCUAUACCAAAACGGAUGACAACUGAAGGAAAAUAUAAAGGUGUAUCUAUAAGAAAACACUUUAUGAUAAUUCGGAAAACAUUUAUGUAACAAGUCAAAGAAAUGUUUAGUAAUAUAUGCACAUACAUUCAGACAGUCAUAUUGCAUUUACUCUUUUUCAAGUAACUACGAUUAGAUGGUGUCUCUAAUAACCAAUCUUAUACUGAAACAAUUUCUUUAAAAAACUCGUUAAAUAUACAUACAUGCAUGCAUACAUACAUAGAUAUAUACAUAUCUAUAUCUAUAUCUAUAUAUAUAUAUGUAUAUAUGUAUAUAUAUAUAUAUAUAUAUAUAUAUAUAUAUAUAUAUAUAUAUAUAUAUAUAUAUAUAGACACACACAGGCAUACACAUGAAUAUAUAUAUAUUUUGAUUAUGAGAAAUUUGUGGUUUCGGAGCAUUAGCUCUAUUUCUAGCAAGUGAUAUCGUGAUAAUUUUAACAAAAUUAUAUUUGAUAAAUUUCUUUGUAUAUUUUGCCUAUAGAGGUAUGCAGUUGCUUACCACUUUAUUAUUAUUAUUAUUAUUAUUAUUAUUGUUAUUAUUAUUAUUAUUAUUAUUAUUAUUAUUAUUAUUAUUAUUAUUAUUAUUAUUAUUAAUUAUUAUUAUUAGAAAUGGUAAUAAUACCGUAUUUAAUUUUAUAUUGUAUUGGCUCACUUUAUGUUCGGUUUUGAAUAUCGCGGGGGCAUUCAAAUGAAAGACCACACACGGUGUAAUGUGAAGAAUAUUUUCAAAAUAUACUCUUUUACUCUUGUACUCUUUUACUUGUUUCAGUCAUUUGACUGCGGCCAUGCUGGAGCACCGCCUUUAGUCGAGCAAAUCGACCCCGGGACUUAUUCUUUGUAAGCCCAGUACUUAUUCUAUCGGUCACUUUUGCCGAACCGCUAAGUGACGGGGACGUAAAUACACCAGCAUCGGUUGUCAAGCAAUGCUAGUGGGACAAACACAGACACACAAACACACACACACACACAUAUAUAUAUACAUAUAUACGACAGGCUUCUUUCAGUUUCCGUCUACCAAAUCCACUCACAAGGCAUUGGUCGGCUCGGCGCUAUAGCAGAAGACACUUGCCCAAGAUGCCACGCAGUGGGACUUAACCCGGAACCAUGUGGUUGGUUAGCAAGCUACUUACCACACAGCCACUCCUGCGCCUAUAGAGGAUUUUGCAGUAAUUCUGCCUGAUGAGCUUUAAAUAUAUUCAAACAGAAAGAGAAAUCAAUUCAUACAGGAACAUCUGUAUUUCUUAAUUCUCUAGUUCAUGCAAAGUAAGCCUAUUUCUGUUAUAUUCGUUACAUUCACCGUGUGUAUAUUCAUAGUAAGAAAUUUAUGGAUUUGGAGCGUUAUCUCUAUUUGUAGUAGGUGGUAUUUUGAAACCUUAUAAAUGUAUUUGUAGAUUUUACCUAUAUAGGAGUAAGCUUGCUGGCCAUUUUAUUAUCAUUAUUAUUAUUAUUAUUUUUAUUAUUAUUAUUGUUGUUGUUAUUGUUGUUGUUGUUGUUGUUAUUAUUAUUAUUAUUAUUAUUAUUAUUAUUAUUAUUAUUAUUAUUAUUAUUAUUAUUAUUAUUAUUAUUAUCAUUAUAUGUUUGACUUUUGCUUUAUAUUUGUACAAGUUGGCUCCAAGUCUCACCCAGAGACAACAGGUUGGAAGUUCACGUUGUUGUUAUGCCUAGUGUGCCAUAUAUUUGGUUGUUUUUUGUGUUGUACUAGUGGAUGUCUAAAAAAAUGUUUGUUUUAAACCUUGAGAUUACAUAGAAAGUAUUUUGCGUAGGAUAUGAGCAGUUCCCAUUAGUACUAUCUUUUGAAUUUCUGCCAUUUUUGGGUCUCCUGGUAUCUGAGUUAGGUAGCAAUCAGCCUCUUUUGCUAUCAUUCCCAGGGCACCUAUGACAACAGGUAUUGUUUUAGUCUUCAGGUUCCACAUUUUGCUGAUUUCUAUUUCAAGAUCUUUAUAUUUGCUCAGUUUUUGGUAAGUCUUGACAGAUACGUUUAUAUCGAUUGGGACAGUCAUAUCAAUGAGGAGGCAUGUUCUUUGCUUGAAGUCUUUCAAUAUGAUGUCUGGUCUAUUAUUAUUAUUAUUAUUAUUAUUAGUAUUAUUAUUAUUAUUAUUAUUAUUAUUAUUAUUAUUAUUAUUAUUAUUAUUAUCAUUAUUAUUAUCAUUAUCAUCAUCAUCAUCAUCAUUACCUUCUUUUCUCUUCUGCUUCUUCUUCUUCUGCUUCUUCUUCUUCUUCUUCUUCUUCUUCCUCUCCUUCCUCUUCUUAUUAUUAUCAUUAUUAUUAUUAUGAAUAUUUAUAGGAUUGAAGCAAAUGCUCUUGAAUAUAUACAAGCAAAAAAAGGAAGAGUGCCAUUGUCAUUAAGUGAACGAUAUUUCGACAUUUCGUUUGUCUUCCAAAGGAUCAAAAAAUAAUCCUGUCAAUCUACUUCAUUUUGGUGAAUAUUUAUAGGAUUACGAACACGUUUACUUUUUGAACCCGUGGAAGACACACGAGAUGUCGAAAUAUCGUUCACUUGAUAAAAAUGGCACUCUUCAUUUUUGCUUCUGUUAUUAUUAUUAUUAUUAUUAUUAUUAUUAUUAUUAUUAUUAUUAUUAUUAUUAUUAUUAAUAAUAAUUAUUAUUAUUAUUAUUAACAAUGGUAAUAAUAAUAACUUACAUAUAAAUAUAUAUAAUCUAUUAGAAUAUAUAUAUAUAUAUAUAUAUAUAUAUAUAUUUAUAUAUAUAUAUCAAAUCUAUUAGAAUUUAUAUAUAUAUAUAUGUAUAUUUAUAUAUAUAUAAAUAUAUAUAUAUAUAUAUAUUCAUUGGAACUCACUUGAAUCUUAAUUGUUUUUACUGAAAAACUAUAUAUAUAUAUAUAUAUAUAUAUAUAUAUAUAAAUUCUUAUCGAUUUUUCCAUGUGUUAACAAGUACCUCCUUCCGACAAUGUAAACUUUUCGUUCACUCAAAAUACCCUUCGCCGUACAAGUAUCCUGCGGCAUAAACCUCGCUUGUAUAUUUACUAGUUCCGACAUUUGGCUCGCCAUCUACACCACUCCUUUAGUCUUGUAUGUAUUAUGUAUGUAAGUAUCCGUUUUGUCUAUGUAUGUGCGAGUAUUGUUCAUCCGAUCGCGCUGAAAAUUCAAACAUGGAUACAUGAGAGAGCGGGGCGUUCCGUAAUCUAAAAAGUUUUUCAAAAUUGUUUGUUUCAAAGUGAGAAUCUUUAUUUUUAUAAUCGUUUUAUCCUGUUUGUUGCGCCAUUAAUAGCAACCAGUUGCUCAGAGAACCGGCCCAUACCAUUUCACUAGCAACAAGGGGAGUACAGGAUGACAGUCAGCCAAAAUCGUCGCUAUGCUGCCUCUCUUCUUUAGUCUUAAUAUUUAGUUACAGUUUCUCAUUCAAAGUACAUAAUAGGCGGAAUUGUUGGAUUAAGUCAUUAGGGUACUUUUAGAGAGAUUUGGACGCUAUUUCUACCAGGUUUAGCCACCAUGUAGAGGUCUCUGACAUUGGCGUAUGCAUACAUAUAUGCAUAAAAUCGAAAUAAAAUACUUAAAGCACAGGCGUCGAAUACAAAAGCCAAGGUCCACACAUUGCCAUGGACCAAAAGAAUUUCCAAAUUCUUGCCUAAUGCGAGCCCAGAGCAAUCUCUUAUAGUAUUUCAGUUUUACGUCUCUAUUAUAGUGUGAGUACUGUCCUAUAUAUAUAUAUAUAUAUAUAUAUAUAUUCCUUACGCAUUCCAAAACUGUGUUAUAGAUUUUGACGUAAUCGGUAUCAAAAGAUUCAGUACUAUUUCAGUUACAAAUUUAACUUAAUUUCCAUUCACAUAUUUGCAUUGAAAAACAUUAACAUAAUCUUUUCCAUAAAUCAACUAAACAUUUUAUACGAUAUCGUCACAUUUUCUAUAUGUGUACCUUAAAAUUAUCAAUCAUCACCACACACACCUUCUGUACACACAUUCUAACUCUUUUUUCUCCUCUUCCUCUCUCACAUACAUACGCAAACACACACACACACACACACACACACACACACACACGUCCAUUUCAUAUUGACGUAUAUACAUGUGUCAAUGUCUUUCUGUUCUUUUCGCUUUCUCUUCUUUUCAUUUUGCUCUCUUUAAAUAAAUUUUUUACAGAUACAACUGCUUACAAAAAUUGCGAUUAAUGUAUAACUUCUUUCUAUGUUCAUAACAUUUUGUUUACAAUAUUGCAAAAAAUGCGCCACCGAAGAAGACUUAAUCUCUCCAGAAACAAGUAUAAAGCAAGGAGGAUUGUAGAAAAACGAAGACGAGAGUCUGAAGAGAGAUGCUAAAUGAGUUGCAUUAAGAGGGCACCGACAAAAAUGUUAAUGUUCUUAUUUCCUCUGCCAAAUUGAAAAACGAAACAUGUUUUCAUAAAAUAUUAUACGAACAUUUAUAAUGCAUAAGUAGUAUCAAUAUUUUACCGUCAGGAUUGGCCUAAAACAAAGGUAAUACUCAGUGCAAUACAUUCAAAUCUGGUUAAUCCGGAUUUUGGGGGGAGUCUAUAGUCAGCAUCAGAACUUCUUUUAGUGAAGAGCAAUGUGAGUAGUCUAAUUAAUGUUUGUUGAAAAUGUUGGAUGAAAGCAACUGGAUACUCUUCACGUUAGGAUCCUUAACGCUGUGAAAAUACUUUUAAAAUGCCGUUUAUCUGCUCUUGGGCUCGCAUUAGGCAAGAGGUUGAAAAUUGUCUUUGGCCAUGACACUUCAUGGACCCUAUAUAAUGCCUGUGUAAACUUUCAUUAAAAUCGGCUGGAUGGAUCUCGAGUUUUAACAUGAGAAACUCACACACUGACAAACAUUCUGUUUUUUAUGUAUAUAGAUAUAUAAAUUAUUAAGGUGACUAUUCGCAUUUUAGAAAGGCAAAGGAUCCCUCCUUACGAAAAGCGAGACGGAGUCAUAACAGCGCUACUUUCAGAUUUAAGUAAUCUUCAUGAGUGACCCAUUACUCCGUCGUCGGGGAAUAAAGGGUGACUCUAGUGACAAUUGUCCAGUUUGCCUAACUGUUCUAAAUUGGGAGUAGCCACUUUAAUAAUUUAUAAUUCUCAUUUUCGAAAUCAGCCGAUGUUUCCAAUAGUGUUUUCUAUAAUACCAAGAAGAUGACUUAGGUUCUUUAACCCUCGAUGGCGGAGUAAUGUAUUACUGGUUGAUUAAAUCUGAAAUCAGCGCUGAUAUGACACCAUCUAGUUUGUCGUAGGGAGGCAGCCUGUCUCUCUUGUUAGCCGUUAGAAAAGUGUUCUCACGUGACUAAGAGUUGCUUUAGUUGUUUUUACUGUUAUUUCUAGCAAUGUUGGCAAUUCUAGCACCCUCCAUCACCUUAGUGACGACUGUACAUAUAUAUAUAUAUAUAUGUAUACACACAUAUAUAUAAAUAUAUAUAUAUAUAUUAAAUAUAUAUAUACACACACACACACAUAGAUAAUAUAUAUAUAUAUAUAUAUAUAUAUAUAUACAUAUACAUAUAUAUAUACAUGCACACACACGAUUGAAUCGGUCCAGAAGACUGAGGCAUGAAUGCUGAAAAAGAAAGCGUGUAUAUACACAAUAAGUAUUGAUAAAACCUGAAGGAAAAUAGAAUUACUAAACUAUUGUAAAAGAUGAUAAAAUAAGUGGAAAUUGGAUAGAAUUCCUAAGAAGGAAAAAGCGCAGUGUAAAGUCAAAUUAUAGACGUUUGCAGGAUUUCUUAUUCAUCGAGCGACUAGUUCAUAUGUAAUUCUAUGAUAAGAAAGGUAUUCCUACCAUCUACACUCGGAACACAUCUCCGCUUCAUACAAGGUAUAUGCAACCUGCAUUUGUAUUUGAAGGGAAUAUGCACUUACGAUCUAAUCUUUCUUUCAUUUAUAAUGAAAAAGGCGUGUUUUAUGCAUAUUUUACAUACCAAGUCUGUUUUAGCAUUGAAUACGUUAUUUAAGAUUUUUCAUAUUCCUGUAUAAGGUUCAGGGACCAGAACAGAUCGCUUCUAAACCAGUCGAACAUCAUCUUCAAGAUAUGAGACUGUGUAGCAAGGAAUGAGUUGAUUGUAGAUCGACGUAGCUGUUUCCAAAUAAAUUACAAGAAAUAUAUGUAAGCCUAUAAAUCAGAAAUAAUUUAAAAGUGGAACACAGCUAUCAAUGUUUAAUGAAAGACACGCCGGCACACAUAUGUGCAUAUGUAUGUAUAUAUAUGCCAUUAUAUAUAUAUAUAUAUAUAUAUGUAUAUAUAUAUAUAUAUAUAUAGAUAUACAUAUAUACAAACAUAUAUAUAUACAUAUAUACACAUAUUUACAUACACACAUAUACAUACAUAUAUAUAUAUAUAUAUAUACAUAUACACACACACACACACACACACACACAAUAUAUAUAUAUAUAUAUAUAUAUAUAUAUAUAUAUAUAUAUAUAGUGAAGUUUCUUUGUUUAUUUUAUGGGCAAUAGUCAGAAGUCCACAGAUAAAAGACUCGAGGCGCUAAGAUAUAAAAAAUAUAAACGAGAAUUUCAGAUAUGAUCAAUUUAAUUUUACAGAUAUUCUGCCAUAGAUCAAUGCACAAGUCGUUAAAAUAUUAAGACAUAUUAAAAAUUCAUGAAUACACAAAUAUAUAAAAAUCUAAUAUACUUAUAUAAAUAGAUGAAUGAAAUUAGGUUAGAACUGUAUUCUAAAAAUUAAUAAGAAUAAAAGUAUGUCCUUACAUGAAGUUGAAUAAAAUAACGUCUUCCGAGGAGCAAAUAAACAAGCAUCGUAGCGUUGAGGUUGGAUUAUUUAAAAAAAUGUAAAUAAUACGAGAGAAUCAUUAAUCCUGUUUAGGUAAACUGUUGGUAGUAAUCCUCUUACGGUCGUUUCAGGAGUACAGUAAUCCAUAGAUUUUAAGUGUAUUUUCAUUCCAAUUUUUGGAUUGAUCACUAGUGAUGGCGACGUUAUAUCCCCAAUCACCUUGCCCCACAGCUUCACACUCAACACGGAGGCCUAUAUCAACUGUUUGGAGGAGGUAGAGCUGCCCUUGGUCAAGAGAGUGGCUGCUAGAACACUAUAUAUCUGGCGACACGACUCAGCACCAUGCCACACAAGCAAGAAAUCCAGUCUUGGCUGUCAUACAAUUUCUGUGACCACAUCUCCCCUAACAUCUUGCCACCUAACGUCUAGGGCGCAGUUGAGCAACAGACCGGCAAAACCCCUUGUAGCACCAAAGAUGAACGGAAGGCAAGGAUAACGGCAUCAUUUACCAGCUUAUACAAAGAGACCGUCCAGAAUAGUUCCGAAGUCUUCUGUAGGCUGUGGUUAAUGCUAAUGUCGAUUUUAUUGCAUAAAUAUACUCUCUAGUAUUUGAAGAUAGUUUUAUGUAAUUUUGAAAAUAUGAAUGUAAAAAUGAGAUGUCAUUUUCAUUUUUGCGUAAUUUAGACAACAGUUUAUCAACGCAGCCAAUACAUACAUACAUACAUACAUGCAUGCAUACAUACAUACACACACACACACACACGCAAACACACACACACGCAUAUUUAUAUACGUAAAUCCAAGUGUACAGAACUAUAUGGCCAUUUCGGCUGAUCCUACCAAUGACUUUCGUGCCAGGGAUUCAACGGAAUGUUAGGUAACACUCCGAUUAUAUGACCCCGCGCUCUUCAGAUGUAGCAGUUAUGUAAUGCAAUAUAGCGACGUCUGAAGAGCGCAGUGUUACAUUCAUUCCAUAACGUCUGCAUCUGAAGAGCGCAAGGUUACAAUGGCACUCUAUUGAACCCCUGAUGCGACAACUAUUGGUAAGAUCAGCUGAAAUGGAUAGAUAAUAGUGUACAUUAGUGUAAUAUACUCACUCUACCGACAGAUAUACGACUUCAUUUUUGCCUGAUUUAUGAACUCGACAGAUUAUGCACACACACAAAUACACACACACACACGCACACACAGACACACGCACACACUCACUCACAUAUAUAUAGUGUGUGUGUGUUCCAUUUUGUACAUGCAUAUGUACAUGGUACAUCAAUAACUUUGUUGUGCCUGUUAUCUUUCGGAAUUACGCUGCCCAGGGAGACGAUAUGAUGGUUUCAAUGUGUUGAUAUUAGAAAUGCAUUUCCCAUAAGAACACUUGUGUAUUAUCUGUAUUUCGAAAUGAAAUGAUUAUUGCCUAUUGUCGUUUUAUCGUUGAUACCAUUUCCCUUAAUGAUAUUUGGUUUCUAUGUUUUGUUUCUAUGAUUACGUAAUUUAUAUUACCAUAUAAAUAUACUGUUCAAAUAUAGACUUCUUACGUAUAUUAUAAAACAAGCUUGAAUUUCUAGCUAGCGAUAAAAAUGUUCUUUUGUGUUAUCAUUAAUCUUCUGCUUCUUUCAGUCAUUAAACUGCGGCCAACCUGAAGCACCGCCUCCAAGAAUAGUGACCCAGUAUUUAUAAUUUUUAAAGAAGUGAUCCAGUAUUUAUAAUUUUUAAAGCCUUGUAUUAUUAUAUCGGUCUUUUCUGCCGGACCGCUAAGUUACGAAGACGUAAACACACCGGCAUUGGAUGUCAAGCGGUGUUGGGUGAGUUGGACUGGGUACAAACAUUGACAAAAUGACACACAUGUACAGAUAUAUAGAUAUCUACAGUGUACUUCUUUCAGUUUCCGUCUAUCAAAUCCACUCAGUGGAUCGUGUUUGGGCCAAGGCUAUACUAGAAUACACUUUCCCAAUGUGCCGUGCAUAGGACUGACCUCGGAAUAAUGUACUUGAGAAGCAAGCUUCUUACCACAUAGCCACGCCUGCGCCUAUAUAGUAAAUACAAGAAAGUAUAUUACAUUGUAGUUAUAAUGCUGUUGUCGUGGAUGGUGUUUGUCUGCUUGAACACACCUGAAAUCAAGAAUAUUUCGGUCACUUUAUUGGAUUCUACGAAUCAUUUCCUAAAUGAGGUUGUAAAUUGUGUGUUAUUUGAUUGUUAUUUGUAGCCGAUCGAGCAACCAAGUGAAGACUCUCCCGUUAUAUCAACAGCUUGUUUUUUCUGCUCAGAGAUUGAAGUUACAAAUUCGUAAUCUCCUAUUGUACAAUUUCAGAUGAAAAUUAAUUUCCGCUAUAAUUAUGUGCAGUUAGAACAGUGACCUACUUUAUUCAUUAUAUUAGUUCAUUCACAGAGAGGUCUUUGGGUAGGAUAUUGUAUAACGUCUAGCGAGUGGAAAUGUUGCCAGCUCAUACACUGUUAGAGACAUUGGAUUUCAUUUGGAAUCAAUAAGUUAUUCGUAUUCGUUUCACUGCUCGGAGAACUAAAUAGACGUCAUAAUCUUGUAAGAAUCCCUCGAUAGGAGUAGCAACAGAAAAUUGAAGCGCAAAUGUAGUUUCAAGUAACAUAAGCGUCAACUUGUAUUUUUACAGCUAGAUUCUCGCUUAACGACGAAGCAGGCAGUAGAUCCAGAAAAAUCAGUUCCUUCUGAACUGAUACUUAUGAAAUGCUUCAUCUUUCCUCAUCGAUUAUUCUGUCUGUCUGUCUCUACCUCUCUUUCAUCUGAUCACGUGUCUCUUAUUAUUACCCUAUGAAUACAAGAGUUGCUAAAAUGGAUCUGGGAUUGAUCCAUUUCGAUUACAACAGAUUGAAAUCUGGUUUGGCAUAAAUAUUUAGCAAGAUGCAUCAUCUUCCCUAAUAAAUUUCUACAUUUUUACACACACACAAACUCACACAUACACACAGACACACACACUCAAACACACACACACACACACACACACACACACACACACACACACACACACACACACACACACACACACACAUAUAUAUAUUUAGCACAUGAAAGCAUAACAUAUAUAUAUAUAUAUAAGUAAAUUAAAAGAGUGUAAAAAUAUGCGAGGUGUAUAUAUGGUGAGUGCGUGCGAACGUCUUCCUGAUAAAGAGGGAUAUUACUUACAAGGAUGAGUUAAACUUUUAAAUGUUUUACUUUACCGAAAAUGUGCUCCAGAAGCGGCCAUGGAAUGCACUUCCUCUAAUAACGGGACUUUAUCCUUAAUACUUAAUUCUAAAUAUUUUUUUCUAUAUGUUCUAGUAAUGUUGUUAUUUGCUCUCUGAAUUGUCUUACCAUUUCUUGCAGGUCGAUGACAUGGAAGCCUUCCUACUGUUAUAUAUGUUUUGGAUAUGUUGUAUAAUUUGUAUAUGUUGCAUCUAUUUCUAUUUCUCUUAAAGGGUUCUCUUUCGUUUGCACUCACCAUAGUUACACCUCCCAUAUGUUUACGUUCCUUUAAUUUAUAUUCAAUUUACAUAAGCUUAUAUAUAUACAGAUUUAUAUUGAUCUAUAUUAAUAUGUAUCAAUGUACAUGUAUUUUUAAAACUGUUUAAAAAAUUACGUCUAAGUGCUCUCCGUUUAGGAAUUUGCUGAUUGACCUAAACUUUGUUUCUGAGAUUAGCUCUUCAAUUAUCGUUCAUCUAGGACUCAUUGCAAGCACUUGUCAGUUACAGCCCAUAUAUCUCGAACGAAAGGUCUAAUGGUGUAUAUGUAUGUAUAUAUAUAUAAACACACACACAUAUAUAUAUAUAUGUAUAUAGAUACAUUGCUGCAUUCUUUGCUAACCCUGCAUAACCUUUGUUUCAAACAAUAAUAAUAGCAGGCCAUCAGUUUACUCUUGAAAUGAAGAUGCAUGCUGUUAUUGUGGUUAUAAUUGCUGAGCAUAGCGAUUUAUAAAUAUUUUGAUUUGUUAAAGUUGCAAGAUCUUUCGUCUACAAAGUUCGUAAGGAGUUAAAGACUGAAGAUGGAUAAGUAUCGCCAGUAUUAAAAUAUAAAAAGCAUUAUAAACACUCUGAAAUCAUUAGAACACCUGGAGUAAUCCACCAAGUUCGACAGACCAUUGAUUGCAAUCCCGGAAAAUCCAGGAGGUCAAUUGCAAAAGAACUCCAUGUGUCAUAAGGAACAGUCAGAAAUGUUGUCCACGAAGACAUCAGAUACAAGACGUAUAUGUUGAGGAAAGGCCAAUGUGUUCCAAAAAGGAAAAAAAAAAAUAUCUGCAUCACGUCUAAAAGGAUCUUAAACAAACUGAAAAAUCCAGCAGCAGAAGAUUUGAUUUGGCUUUUCUUAAACUGAGAAUAAUUGCGACGGAGAUCAAACAGUUAACAGAAGAAAUGACAGAUGGUUAUGUGCAGACCCUUCUGAAGUUCCAAGUAUUAUUCAUACAAAAUCCCCUGCAACUGAAAUGAUUUUAGGGAUUGUCAGCAAUAAAUUCCUUAGAAUUAACUCGCCUACAUUGAGGAUCCGGAAAUACUUGUUAAACACUGGAUAGACGGUGUAUGCAAUGGAAGGCCAUAUUUGUUUCAGUAAGAUUCUGCACUAUCACACAUGGCUGCAGUAACUCAGGAAUGGAUGGCUGAAAAUUUUCAUGAUCACAUAGCCCCUAACAUUUGUCCUAAUUCCUCAGAUCCCCAUGUGGGACUUUCUUGAAAGGGAGGUCAAUGAACACGCCCAUAAAACCAAAGAUUCUUUGAAAGCUGCCAUGUUCAGAGUAAUGUCCAAAAUGAAACACGACCAAUUGAAUCGAGCAUGUAUAUGAUUUAAAUCUUGUAUAGAAGCAGUUGUUGACGCAGAAGUAGCUUUAUUGAAUAACAUUAUAGAACAGAAAUUCUAUUUUUUUCCUCAGAGCAUUUUUUGAUAAAGUUAUUAUCUGUUAUCAUAUAUCUGUUUAUAUAAACAUAAAUCUGUCCACAAAUAUCUUACGCACACUUUAUAUAUAUAUAUAUAUAUAUAUAUAUAUAUAUAUAUAUAUAUAUAUAUAUAUAUAUAUAUAUAUAUAUAUACAUCUGUGUGUAUGUGCGCAGCAUACAUCUAUACAUAUGCAAUGUGGAGUGUGUGUAUACGCAUAUACAUUUAUAUAUGUUUUAUAUUUAUAUGUAUAUACAUAAUAUAUGAUAUAUAUAUAUAUAUAUAUAUAUAUAUAUAUAUAUAUGUAUAUAAAUAAUAUAUAUAUAUAUAUAUAUAUAUAUAUAUAUAUAUAUAUAUAUAUAUAUAUAUAUAUAUAUAUAUAUAUAUAUAUAUAUAUAUUCAUAUAUAUGUAUAUGUUAUUAUAAUUAUUGUAGGUUAUCAGCUGUAGCGUUAUAAAUCAAAUGAAGGAUGAUCACAAGGUGCAGGUGGAAACUAUACACAACCUUUGACUGACGAGAAGUUUUAAUCUGAAGGACCACAUUUAAAAAAUAUUUUGCAACUGAUAGUACUUAAUUGAAAGAUUCUGUGUUUGAUUAUUACUAUUAUGUAAAUUUGUAGUUCAACAAAAAAAUUACAAUUCAUGGAUCUGGAUCGGGACUAGCAUCAAAACAACGCUCACGCGCCUGUGCAUACGAGGACCGUCCUGAUUUUCAUGAAUGCUAUAUGUCGUUGAAGUUACCCACAUUGUUUUAUUUCCUCUUUGUAUAUACAGAGAUAUACUUCAACAUAGUCUGCAGCAGAAGUUUAUGUUUUUGUCCUUUGCAACACGUAAUCUUUGAAUUCUGUUUAAAAUUUCCGGUGUACACUUUUUCACCCACUUCCUCACGUGAAUUUACACGUCGUUUGUUUGAUGGAAUUUUUUGACGUGACGACUAUGCCACAUUGAACGAAAAUUUUAGACGUGGGAAGGCUUCGGCUCUGACCUGUACACAAGAUGGAAGACACUUGAUCUGCACAAUGUAUCGAUAUGUGUUUGCCUAAGUUUUUCUAUGUUUCUGAAUGUGUCACUUGCUGUCGACGGCAGAGCAACGUUGUACAAAAAGAAAACCAAGAAAAAUAUAACAUUUCUUAUCACUCAAAUCAGUCAUUCUGACAUUCUGUACCGAUCGAAGUUCUUGCACCUCUUAGGCAAUAAAGAAGUUUGAAUCUUUACUUCCAAACAACUAACAUGUGGUCAUGUUCUGUCCUUUACCACCAGAUCAGAGAGAAGAACUUUUAUUAGCUUCAAACUCUUCCACUUUAUCACCUUCAGAUUUAGUGUCAUGAGCGGAGGUACUUACUUGUAAUUACUUUCGUGACACCAAAUCUCUCAUUAUCUAUAAUAUAUUGUGACUACAAUACACUAAUGCAACUAGAUCACAGAUUGUGACGUCUCUUUCUGCACGAAUCAGAUAGUGAUUCGUGUCAGUGGCCUCCUACCGUAAGAUUAUUCUUAAGUAAAUUUUUAAAAUUCGUUCAUCUGUGCGCGUUCCUCUUGCCAAGGGUGUUAUCUAUGUAAACGACGUGUAGCUCCACAUUUACACUCCACAUUUGCCAAGAACUUAAUGACGGAUCGUUGCUUCUACUUGCAGACCAUUAUUUCCCUGAAAUGAAGAAGAACAAGAAGAAAGUUACUAAAGAGGAAUAGUUUCU
rnacentral:lncRNA from 1 species